AAAGGUUCACUUUCAGUUCUCUCUCUCCCUCUUUAUAAGCUGAAACUUAGCUCUGUGGAUCACCAUUGUUGAUUCUCAACAUGAUAUCAGAGCCCUCUAUCAAUUGCUUGGUGUGUCAAAACUAGAUCAUGCACAUCACUAUCUCUCUGUUUUCAGUGUGACUGCUUCAUCGAGGAAUAAGUGCAUGGAUCAAGCACAACAGAGGAACUAAGGUUUGCAGUUUCUCAGUAAAGUUUGUGACAGACUUGUGAGUUAUUAUGGGGCAAUUUCUCUACUAUAGACCAAUGGCGAUAGUUGGAGAUCCACACACGAGUAAUGCAGCUAGCUCAGGUGGGGGAUGUUAAUCAUCUGCAUCUUCAUGCAUGUGACACUCCAGGUAGCUCUCUAGUCUUAAUUCAGUUAACAGGCUCUGAGAAUUAUGCUUUAUGGAGUAGGUCAAUGAAGAUAAGAUUACUAGGUAAAGGGAAAUUGGGUUUUGUCACUGGACAAAGCUCUAAAGAUAAGUUUUAUGGUCAGGUGCACUUACCUACUGUGAUCAUGCUCAAGUUAGACAUAUAGAAAGUUCACAUAUCCUUGGAGGCCUUGAGAUCACUAAUGUCCGGCAUGUGUUUGAGUUUAAAUUCAACCUCUUGUCUAUUCCAAAACUGACAAAAAAGUUGAACUGUUAUGUUAUUUUUUAUUCUCAUUUCUGUGUCUUUCGGGACAUCUUCAAUGGGAAAGUAAGGGGGAUUGGCAAACUUGAGAAUGAUCUCUAUGUAGUGAAUGCUGAUUGCUUACUAAGAACACAAGAACCUCAACUAACAAUAAUGAUGUAUUUGGCAAAUCAAAUACCAUGGUCUAAUAAUCAACCAUUCUGAUUAAUUGAUAAUAUUAGUAUUAGUUGGAAAUUUUCUGAAAGAUUCCUGUGAAAAGUUUCAUUAACGCGUAAUUCGUGUCGAGUAGACCUUGUUGUUGUGAGAAUUCUUAAUUCAUGAGUUGUAGGGAGGGAUUUAUGUCACCACAAACAGAGACUAAAGCAAGUGUUGGAUCCAAAGCUGGUGUUAAAGAGUACAAAUUGACUUAUUAUACUCCUGAGUACCAAACCAAGGAUACUGAUAUAUUGGCAGCAUUCCGAGUAACUCCUCAACCUGGAGUUCCACCUGAAGAAGCAGGGGCCGCGGUAGCUGCCGAAUCUUCUACUGGUACAUGGACAACUGUAUGGACCGAGGAGUCAAGUCUGUCUGCCCGGUGGUCGGAUGUGAAGGAGUGAGUAAUGAGCCAUUUUUCGUUUGGAGUGGGUGCCGUGGUAAUGAACGGAUUCGAAGACUCUGUAUAGCUCUGCAUUCCUUUUUCUUUAUUGUCUGGUAGUUAAGGAGUGAAUGCAAAUCAGAUAAGAAAGAGACUAAACUCCGAUGUCGGAAUCUCGUCUGCGUAGUUCGAAUCUCUUUCUUCCCGAAAAUCCCAUGAUGUGCAUGUACAUACAGCUUCUAAUAAUGUUGCUACUACAAAUUUUGCAGCUUCUACUAGUGAAAAAAAAGACUUAGCUCUAGGGCACAAUAGACGAGGCCAUGCUUUUCUUACUACUCUAAGGAAGCUAAGUUGUUUUAAAUGUAUUUCUAUUAAGGUUGAGGCUACUGUUGUAGACAUGUGCACUGCAUGCCCUUUGGCUAAACAAUCAAGGAUUUUUCCUUUAAGUACCACCUCUACAUAUGCUUGUUUUCACUUAUUACAUGCUGAUGUCUGGGGUUCCUACAGGGUACCUAUACAUGACGGUAAAAGGUUUUUUAACCUUGGUUGAUGACUAUUCCAAAUACAUUUGGAUAGUUCUGCUUAAAUCUAAAUCAGAAGUCAUAGUUGUUCUUAAAAACUUCCUUAUCAUGAUAAAAAAUAUGUUUGGUACUUUUAUUAAAUGCCUAAGAUCUGACAAUGGUUGUGAGUUCUUCAACUCUCAAAUAACUGACCUACUCGUAUCACUUGGAAUUCUACAUCUAAUCUCUUGUGUCUAUACACCUCAAUAAAAUAGUUUUGUAGAGAGAAAGCAUAGACAUAUUCUAGACACAACCAGGUCUAUCAGAUUCCAGUCUCAUGUACCUCUGAAGUUUUGGGAGAAUGUGUCCUUACUAGUAUGUAUCUCAUUAACAGAUUGCCCUCUACUGUCCUUAAGGGUAAGACUCCUUUUGAAUAUAUGUAUCAUUCUGGUCCUUCUCUUGAGCAUCUUAGAGUAUUUGGCUACUUAGCUUAUGCUACUGAAGUAAGGAGGGUGGAUAAGUUUGCCUCAAGGGCUAUUCCUGCAGUAUUUCUUAGUUACUCACAUCUCUCAAAGGGGUACAAACUCAUGGUUUUACAUACCAAGGAAUUCUUAGGCAGUAGAGAUGUAGUCUUUAAUGAAAAUGUAUUUCCUUUCCAACACAUGAGCUCUUUCUCUCAUAUAUUUUAUCCUCCUUUGUUCCAUGAUUCUACUGAUGCUAAGUUUGUGCCUUUGGUGAUUCCUGCAUCCUCUAGUUCUACCACUGCUGAUCUUCUGGUUCUAGGUUUUGCUCUCAACUCAGUUCAAGAUAUUGCCCAGCCUGAACCUGCUAUUACUGAAUCAGUUGAGUUACUUCCCUUAUCUCAAACUAGAAGAACUUCUACUAGACAGACUAGACCACUAAUUUGUCUUAAAGACUAUCAAACUAAAGUGUCUAAAGCUAACUUUGCAUGUCUAUACCCUAUUUCUUACCAUGUGCGCUAUGCUGCACUCUCUUCUUCUUACUGUGCUACUUUAUUAACUUACUCUUCAGUACAUGAACCUACUUUAUUUUUUGAAGCUUCUAUGGAUCCCGAGUAGAUUGAAGCAAUGAAGUCUGAAAUGGUUGCAUUUGAGGAUAAUAAUACAUGGACCAUAGUUUAUUUUCCCCCGGUAAAAUUCUCAUUGGUUAUAAAUGGGUGUUUAAAGUUAAGUAUGUAGCAUCUGGUGUUGUUGAAAGAUACAAGGUCAGGAUAGUUGCAAAGUGCUUUAAUCAGAUAGAAAGGUUGGACUACUCAGACACAUUCUCUCCGGUGGCUAACACGGUCACGUCAGAUCAUUGUUGUUGUUGCUGCAGUUAAGCACUAGCCUGUGUUUCAGAUGGAUGUUCACAAUGUUUUUCUGCAUGGUGAUCUUAUUAAAGAUGUAUCUAUGGCUCUUCCCCCUGGCAUUUACAGACAAGGAGAGGUUGAUAAGGUCUAUAAGUUGCAAAAAUCUCUUUAUGGGCUUAAGUAAGCUCCAAGGCAAUGGAACUUGAAACUAACAGAGGCUCUUAUUCAACUUGAGUUUGUACAAAGUCAUUAUGACAACUCUCUGUAUACAAAGACAGCAGGGAAGGAUCUAGUCAUAGUACUAGUCUAUGUUGAUGAUCUGUUAGUAAUUGGUAGAUAUAGCAGAUUGAUUGAUCAAACUAGAAGUGAUCACAUGUUUAAGUUCAAGAUGAAAGACUUGGGUCCUUUAAAGUUCUUUCUUGGCAUUGAAUUUUCUAGGUCCAAGAAGGGGAUUGUCAUAAGCCAAAUAUAAAAUAUGCUUUAGUCCUUAUUUUUUAGCUAGGACUUAGUAGAGCCAAGCAAGUGUAUGCACCACUUGAUCCAAGUCUGAGAUUGACCUUAAUUGAAUAUGACUCACAUGUAAACAACUCAGGAGAAGAUCCAGUAGAUAAACCUCUAAAAGAUAUUAGGAAAUAUCAAAGGCUAGUUGGGAGGUUGUUGUAUUUAACAAUGACAAGAGUGGACAUUUCCUUUGUUGUACAAGUGUUGAGCGAGUUCUUGCAUGCACCUAAGGAAUCCCACAUGGAAGCUGCUAUCAGAGUGGUGAAAUAUGUUAAGGCUUCACCAGGCUUAGGCUUGUUCAUGCCAUCGCAAGGCUCAGGUACAUUGACAGCAUUUUGUGACUCAGACUGGGGAACUCGUCUACAAACUAGAAGGUCUGUGACUGGGUAUUUAGUUAAAUUUAGAGCUGCUUUGGUGUCUUGGAAAUCAAAGAAGCAAAAGAUAGUAGCUAAAAACUCAGCUGAAGCAGAGUUCAGAAGUAUGGCCUCAACAGUGGCUGAAAUCACCUGGCUUAUAGGCCUGUACAAAGAGUUGGGUAUUAAGGUUCAACAACCAAUAAACUUAUUGUGUGACAGCAAAGCUGCAUUGCAAAUUGCAGCCAACUCAAUUUUUCACAAGAGGACAAAACACUUUGACACUAAUUGUCACUUUGUCAGAGAGAAAUUGGUGCAGAAAAUAAUUUAGACUCGUCAUGUAUCAACCAAGGAACAGCUAGCUAAUUUGCUUACAAAGAGUCUAGGCAACACACAACAUACUCAUCUUUUAUCCAAGCUGGGAGUGAAGGAUCUAUUUCACUCAUCAGCUUGAGGAAAGAUGUUCAGUAUUCUUAGUGAAUGAGUUAGUCACAGAGUUAGUUACACUGUAGAUGUGAGUUAGUUACAAUGUACAACACAAUACUUGUGUGUACUAGUUGGUUAGUUAGUUAGAAAAGUUAACUUAAUGAGAUGAGUUAGUUAGUUGAUAUUAGAAGUUCCUCUAUAAAUAGAGGUGUGUAGAUAGUGUGUGGAACUAAUAUUUCAUUGAUUUAAUAAAAGGUUCACUUUCAGUUCUCUCUCCCUCUCUAUGAGUUGAAACUCAGCUCCAUGGAUCACCAUUGUUGAUUCUCAACUGUUCGAGCUAUUAGAAAUGUUGUUUCAAGAAAUAUUUGCCCUUAAUAUAAGCAUAAUCUAAGGUUUAGAGUAAAAUAUCCUCCAAGAACUCUAAUAGAAUUUGAAUUCAUCUUGUAGAGUUCAAAAAAAUUUAAAUGUCUACACUAGCAUAAAGACAAAAUAUACAAGGUGAUUUUUUUCAUCUGUCUUGAUGAAUAAAGUUACUCUGAUAUCUGACGGUGGUGAUGAAAGGUGGUAUGUAAGUAUAUAUAUGUGUGUGCCUCACGCUUAAUUCAAUAUCAACAAUAAACCCAGUAUAUUUUCACAUAGUGGGGUUCGGAGAUGUCUCACGCUUAAUUAAUGAUCCUUUCUGCGGACAGCCUAUCAAAUCAGAUCACGUAUUUUGGAAUAUGUCGUUACAUCAUGUACAUGUAUUCGCUUUUUCAUUUUUUUGGAUGUUCCUGCUCGUGCGCCGAUGCCUGCUGCUUCAUCUGGGAGAAAAGAAUCAUAGAUAUGCCGGUCAUUAGAAGGAAGAACCGCCAUAAAAAGAGGGUGUCACCCUCUAGCUGUAAUCUAUCUCUUUCUCUAUGAUAUAUCCAUAUUAAAUCACAACAUUAACAACAACAUAUCUUUUUUGUUAUUCUACAUGUUUGAGAGUAAACCGUAUGCAAAUGUUACUUUUACUUCAAACGAUAGAAAAGUUAUUUUAAUAAAUUCUCGACUCAAUAAUUUCAAAUAAGUUCCAAAAAAAUAAAGAAAUAGAAAACAACGAAGCCAUGACAAAAAAAAAAAAAGAAAGAAAACAUGACAAAGUAGUUGAAAAGAAAUGACACUAAUUAACUACAAUAAAAUGAUCGGAUAAUCAAAAUAUAAAAGACAACAAAUAGUAGGUAUAAUGAAUUCAUAAUAUUAAAAAUAUAAUAAAUUCUAAAAAAUUUUAACGUUGAACUCAUAAAUUUAAAUUCUUAAUUUAUAUAUAUAUAUAUAUAUAUUAAAUAGAGAAUAUAGAUAUUUUUAUUUGAACUAGCAGAUGUAUAACUUUUCCUUUUUUAAUCAUAGCAUCUUUUUCUGUUAACAAUCAGGUAAUCUCAUCAUGUUGCGUUGGCCAGGAGAAUCUAAGGAAAACAUUUUAUUUUGUAUAAUAAUAAAAAUAAAGUGAUUUAAAGGGAACAAUUCGUACAUAUUAUGAUGUGUACAUGUGCACUUUUUCCUUUUAAAAAAAAAUAAUAAAUAAAAAUUAUUUGUUUAUACAAAUAAUUUGUAUUGUAACCACUAGAGUUGGUAUGGUGGUUUAGCGCCAUGUCCCUUAAUCAAGAGGUCGCGGGUUCGAUUCCCGCCUCUGGCGAAUGGAGCAAAUCCUGUUGCCAGUUCUCUACUACUUAGUGUGAGGUUCCUCGGAAAUGAUUUCUUAUGAUUACUUAGAAAAUUAUUUGGUAGCUGAUUAAAGUUGUACAGGACUUCAUUAUGAACGAAUGUAUUUAUGAUUUUAUGCAAGGUGUUAACUAUGCGAUUUAAUUUUAUGUAACUAGCAAUUAUUCAUGCAUUUGUUAUUUUAUAAUAUAAUAUGUAAAUUUCCUCAUAAUCUAUACUUGUAUUAAUUCUAUAUGUUUCUCAACAUCUUAACUUAUUUUGGAUUUAAAUACUGUCUUAAAUUUUAUAUAUAGAAAUAAUUACCUUCUAAUCAGCUACAAAACUUAGUAUUACUAUACAAGAUUUUAGAAUUUUUAAAACAUGGAUAAACCAUUAAAAGAAAGAAAGAAAAAAUAUAUUUAGUGAGAAUUGAUCCCUAAAUUCUUAAGGUAAAUAACUUAAAGUUUAGCCAAGUGUAUUAUUUAGUCUUCUCAUAACAUAGGUGUCAACAAGUAAUAUUACUAAUUUUAGAAUAUAUACACAUAAAAUACUUAGUUUUACUAAAAAAUAAGGUUCACAUGCCCUCUUUUUUAAUAUAAUUUCGCUUCUCGAUAUUACUUACUCUGAAUAUAACACCUACAUAAUUCUCCUCUCGAUAUUACUUACUCUGAAUAUAACACCUACAUAAUUCUCCUCUAAAAAAGCCAUCAAAAGCUUUUACAAUUUGAAUGACAAAAAAUAAUUAUUUUCGGACCAUAAGAUUUAAUAACAUUUUAGUCAUGGAAUAAUAUGAUUAAUUAAGAGAAUAAUAUCAAUUAUUUUUUAAAUUUUUUUUUUUUUUUUAAAGUAUCAUAAGCAUUACGAUCAUUCUAUUUUGUCAAACUCUGAUAGGAGAUUCUUUUAUUUAACUUGGAAAAGGACAAUUCCAGAAUAUAUAUAUUAGUUGCUUGGAUGAAUGUGCCUAAUCAUAGAAGACAACCUAGUACCAUUUGGAUAUUUUUCUAAUCUUCAAUCUUUCACUACCACAAAGAGUUGGAUAUACAAAAUUUCUUUUUAAAAAAAAAAUAUAUAUUUUUGGUGUUUGAAUUAAUUUAUGCAUACCUCGAUAAAGUAUUUUAUAAAAUAUUUGUCCAGAGGCGAACCUUUGUGUAUUUUUAUAGUGCAUGACACCCAUUAAAUUUGGUAUAACUAUAUACGUAAUAUAUAAAAAUUGGUAUAGGAAUAAAAAAAAACAUUAAGAAAAUCAAGAAGCUAGUUGAGUGUUUUAGUUUUCAAACGAAACCUUAAAACAUUAGGUGUCAAUAUCUGUUAGAACCUCCCUGAGGCACCCAUGCAACCACUAAAUUCUAAGUGUGCCACAAUAUUUGUCACCUAAUGUCUAUCAAAAUUAGAAUAUAAAGAAAAUAAAUCACACAGUUUUUGUACUUGUUGAAAAUUGAACCUGAGAUCUCAUGGUGCUCAAUCAAUUUCAUUAAACCGACAAGGCACAUCUGUAGGAGCAAAGCAAAAGUUUUCUAAGUUUGAAACUUGAUAAUGGAAAAAUUCAUGAUUUAUAGGGUGUUUGAAUUGACUUAUUUUUAAGUGUUUUGGGUUUUUAAAUACUUUUUGAUUUUUGAAAUUGUUUGACAGAUACACAACUUUAGACUUAAAAGGUUCAUAAAAAAAAUCAAAAAUAAAAAGUAGAUUGUUACAUACUUUUAACUCUUAAUUUUUUUACUUAUAAAUCACAUAAAAAUAACCCUUAAAAGUGUUCUAAUGAAUUUUAUGCUGCAGAAAUAUGUUUAGUAGAUUAUAAACUUUGGUAAUGGACAAUUGAAUAUUAAGUGUUUUUAUCUUAAUUAAUCUUAAAAAGAUAAAUGUAUGGCUAUCUCCCUUUCUUAUUUUUACCCCAAUCUUUUUAUUUUUACUUUCUUUCUUUCCCUUGCCUUAAUUUGUUUUUGGGCUCCAUCAAAUAUUCAAGUGGAGCACCAACAAAUUGAUUAAAGCGACUUUCCACUUACACUUAUCUGGAUAUGAUCACGAUAUUCUGUCAGUUGUGAUUUAACUCAAUAAUCAUAUCGUAUCAGAAAAUAUUAUUAUUCUCUUAUUAAAGCAACGAUCAUAUCAUAUUAGAAAAUACUAUUACAUUUUUAUUUAAAUUUUUUUUAUUAUUUAUUAAUUAUAAUAUAUAUGACUCAGCAACACGAUAAAAUAGUGAUGUUCUUUUUAUAAACUAGGGGCGUGAACCAACACACCUAUGAACCAAUAACAUAAAUGUUGUAAUAUUCCUUGUUAAUUAUGAUAUUCUGUCAGUUGUGAUUUAACCCAGUAAUCAUAUUGUAUCAAAAAAUAUAAAUAUGCUCUUAUUAAAGCAACAAUUAUAUCGUAUUAGAAAAUGCUAUUACACUUUUAUUUAAAAAAAAUUGUUAUUUAUUAAUUAUGAUAUUACUCAGCAACACGAUAAAAUAUUGAUGUUCUUUUUAUAAACACGGAGCGUGAACCAACACCUAUGAACCAAUAACAUAGAUAUUGUAAUACUCUUUGCCAAUUACGAUAUUUCGUCAGUUGUGAUUUAACUCAGUAAUCAUAUCAUAUCAGAAAAUAGUAUUAUGCUCUUAUUAAAGCAACAAUCAUAUUGUAUUAGAAAAUACUAUUUCAUUCUUUUUUAAAAUUUUUUGUUAAUUAUUGAUUAUGGUAUGACUUAGCAACACCAUAAAAUAAUGAUGUUCUUUUUAUAAACUAGGGGCAUGAACCAACACCUAUGAACCAAUAACAUAGAUGUUGUAAUAUUCUUUGUUAAUUACGAUAUUUCGUCAGUUGUGAUUUAACUCAGUAAUCAUAUCAUAUCAGAAAAUAUUAUUAUGCUCUUAUUAAAGCAACAAUCAUAUCGUAUUAGAAAAUACUAUUUCAUUCUUAUUUAAGAACUUUUGUUAAUUAUUGAUUAUGGUAUGACUUAGCAACACCAUAAAAUAUUGAUGUUCUUUUUAUAAACUAGGUGCGUGAACCAACACCUAUGAACCAAUAACAUGGAUGUUGUAAUAUUUUUUGUUCUUGAAUAUUUCUAGUAGUACUUUUUAUACAUUUGUAUGAUACAACCUUGGGAAAGUAGAUUAAGCAUCUUCAUUAGCAUACAGUAAUCCCCUAAGCAUCUUAGUUUUUUAAUUAAUAAGUUAUGCCUUUUCCUUAGUUGGAGGCUAAUCCAAUUUCAAAGCUCAUAUAUUUGGUGAAGUGGCUAUCCACUAGUCAUGUCUCUUAUUUAGUUUUAUCAUUUUAUUUUAAAAAAUAAAUAAAUUAUGCUCUUGUUUAAUUUAGAGAUAGUUACGUGUCUAAAUACUUUGAUCGACUAGUUUACAAAAUAUAUACUAUGUGUGUAGGUUAUAUAUAAUGUAUACUAGAUAUACAUAUACUAUAUAUAUAAUAGGUAAAAGAGUCAAAUUUAUUUCUUUACUUUGAAAAAUUAUCUAAAUAUAUCCUUCGUCAUAUUUUGGGGUUCAAAUUUUAUCCUUGUUGUCAUGCAUUGAGGCCAAAUUAACCCCUCUAUUUUAGAAAAUUGAGCAAAAUAUACCCUUCGUCAUACUUUACUCUUAAUAUCAUACUUUGGGGUCAAAUUUACCCUUGUUGUUAAGAAACUUUUGACAUGUACCCUUUCUUUACUAGAAAAGUCCAAUCAACGUUAAAUAUCCUAUAUUUUAAAAAUAAAACACUAUUCUAAUCUGUCCGAUACAAGUCGAGUCACAAAAAAGACACAAAUAAAUAUACACUCCUCAAUUCUGUUACUUAAAUUUUUCCAACGAGAUUAAGCCACUGAAUAUUUAUCAGCGUAUAGCACAUGAAAAAUGAAUUUGCAUCAGUGCAAACACAAACAAAUACACCUCUCCUUCACUUCAUAGAUCUGCACAGUGCAAAACUCAUGAAAAAUGACACUUGACGGUGAGAUGCAACAGAAUAGGCCAAUUGAAGUUUCUUUAGAUAAUUAAGUUAAGAGGUCUCCCUAUGUGUCUGUGACAUCUCUUCAUUCUUAUAUUUUUUAUAUAUACGAUUUGGAUCUAUACAAAUUUCUCAUCAUUUCAUUUGCUCAGAAAACUUAUCCACUGAUUGUAGAAUCUAGAUGUACAUAGAAUUGCAUACCAAAAUUUGAAAUUUGAACAUAACUGAACAAGAGCAGAGUUUGUGUCAUACAUUUUCUCUAGUUCCAUGCUUCUAUGUUGUCACAUUUCAUUUUUUUGUUCAUUUGUAAACAACCUAUCAGCGCUGCACGUUGAAAGAGAAUUAUAUUUGUUCAUUGAAAUAAAUCGGCCAGUAAAAUUGUGGAAGGAGUAUAUUUGUUUGUGUAUUUUUGUGGGUCGCAUUGGACUGAUAAAAUUAGAAUGUGUUUAUUUUUAAAAAUGGGUCAUAUAAUGUUGAUUUGGGCUUCUGUUAAAAGAAAGGUAUAGGUGAAAAAUUUCUUAACAACAAGGAUAAAUAUGGCACCAAAGCAUGUCAUUGAAGAUAAAUUUGAUCCUAAAAUAUGAUGAAGGGUAUAUAUGUUUAAUCAAUUUUUUUAAGUAGACGGGUAAAUUUGACCUCAAAAAUCACUACGAGGGGUAAAUUUGACUCCAAAAUAUGACAAAAGAUAUAUUUUAGUCAAUUUUUCUAAGUAAAGGAUAAACUUGAUCAUUUUUCCUAUAUAAUAUACAUAUCUAUCCAUAGUAUAUUUGGUACUCUUUCAUUUUUUAAAAAAAAGAAAAAAAAAACUAUUUUUUAUUUGCACUUACGGGAGAAAAGAGGUGGGAUGAUAUUGUAAUAGACAUCUUUCAGAAUUUUCAUGUGAUGUUCCAGUUUGCUGUACGUGCAAUGUCGGAUAAUAAUGGAGCUAAAAUAAAAUAAAUUUUAAACGUUAAAAGUGAAAAAUAAAUAACAAACAUAAUAGUUAGUCUGUGUUACUAUAUUAAUAUUUGGUAGUGAUUAAUUCAAAGAAUACUAGACAAUUAAAUUGGACAAAUGUUAACUGAAGUUACAUUAAAGUUAAAGUUUAUAAUAAUGUUUGCGAAGUUAUAUAUUUGAUUAAGCAUAUAUAUUAAUUUUUGUUGUUGAUAGAGAGUCUGAAUCUAUGAAUAAAGAGAUUUGAUAUUGAUUCUCGCUUUAAUUUCAUCAAUCGAUGAAAAAGUUAUUUGAGCUAGGAGGUAGAUAAUUAAAAAGGUAAAAUAAAAUUAAAGUUCGAUAUUUCUCUUUAUCUUAUUAUAUAUAUAACAAUACUCCUAUAUGGAGAUGCUCAAUUUUAAUGAUAAAGAGGCUCAAAUCACUGUACGAAAAGAUUUGAGCUUGAUUCGCACUGUCUGUCAUUAAAAAGAAAAAAAGAAAUAUAAUUGAAAAAAUGGAGUAAAAUGAAGUUCAAUAUCUAACUUUUCAUAUAUAACAGUUCAUGACGUGGAGAUGCUCAAUUUUAUUGAUAAAGAAAUAUAAUAUAGCAAAGAGAUUUGAGCUUGAUUCGCAUUCUCCAUCAUUACACAGAAAUACAUAAUUAAAAAGAUGGAGUAGAUCGAUGUUCGACAUCUGACUUAACUUGUAUAAUAGUACUCUCACGUAAAGAUGCUUAAUUUUAUUUUAUUUUUGAUAAAGAGGUCCAAAUAUGUGAAUAAAAAAUUUUGAUCAGCUUCGCUCGCAAAUGACCAUAUAUUCUAACUGAAAUAAUUUUCUUAGGAUAAAUAAAUACAAUUUAAAAAUAUUAAUGUGAAAAAAAUGGAGUAAACCAAGUUUCAAUAUCUAACCUAGCAUAUAAAACAUGGUUCCAAUAUAACAUUUUUUCUUUAUUGAUAAAGAGAUCUGAAUCUAUAAAAAAAAAAUAUUUGAGCUUGAUUGUCACCCGCUGUCAAUUAAAAAAAAGAAUAUAUAAAUAAUUGUAAAACAUAAGUAAAUCAAAGUAUAAUGUCUGACUCAACAUAUAUAAAGUUAAUUUUUUUUCUUUAGUGAUAAAAAGGUCCAAAUCUAUUGACGAAAAGAUUUAAGCUUAAUUAAUUCCACUCACCAUUAUUGAAAGAGGUAGAUGAUUUAAAAAGAUAAGAGUAGAUUGAACUUUUAAUUUAUCUUAAAGUUGUUUAGGGCUGAAACUGUGGGCUUUAUUCUCCACUUAAUUAAUUAGUACUAUAAGAUAAUACAUGGAAUAUUAAUAAUAAAGUAUAGUAAGUACAAAAAAAAUACUAUUAAUUAACAACUAUUUAGGAGUGGUCGCCGUCAAGAAUGAAGAAAAAAACUUUUAUAAAUAGUGCUAUCAAUGUUUAUUUUUGUAAAAAAAAUUAAAAAUAACGACAUUUUGCUGUAUUUUAAAAUAUAACAACAUUUUUAUUUCGAUUCAUAGCAUAAUACAUGUUCUCAUGCAGAUAUCUCUUCUAAUGGAAAUUGAAUUGAUAUAGUACCUAAUUGUAAUUAUAUGCAUGUGUGUGUAGACGUUGUAGUGGACAAACGCUAAGAUGAAUAGGCCCGCUAGUAUGUCCAGUGUUUAUUUUACUGGCUUGUAUGAUCUCGGAAUAUGGUUGUCCGAUAUUCCUUGUGGACGAACAGGAAAAAUAUAACCUAUAGAUUCAGCAUGGAGCGUGGAAGGUUUGAUCCUUUUAUUUCGGGAGAAAUAACCUCUCAUCAUAGGUGUAUAUUUUCAAAGUAGAUGUAAUUUACAAUAAUUUGUACUAUAGUCUUAGAACAAAAUCUUCAAGUACAUAUUCUUGGGACAAUUUGUCUUUUUGAGUUCCUUAGACUUGAUUAAAAAUUUAAAACGUUUUUAAGUUAAGAUAUCUAUACAUUUUAUCAUAUGAAAUUCAUGCAUAAGAUCUCAUGGUAGUACUUCAAAAUGUAAAAAGCACUCGUGAAAUUUCUUAUCGAAAGGUCCAAUGCAAUAAGUUGAUUUGUGUGAAUUAGACAAUAGAUUUGAGCUUGAUUCACGUUCUGCGUCAUUAAAAAAAGGUAGACCAAAGUUCGAUAUCUAACUUAGCAUAUAAGAGAUUGUUCCCAUAGAGAGAUGCUAAACUUUAUUAACAAAGAGGUUUCUGUCGAUAAAAAGAUUUGAGCUUGAUUUGUGCUCUUUAUAAUUAAAAAGAGAAGUAAAAUCGAAAAAGAUGAAGUAGACUAGGUCAUAUUUGAUUGGAUAUAUAAUAAUGUUUUCACAUAGAGAUGCUCAAUUUUAUUAAUGAAGAGGUAUGAAUCUAUGGACAAAAAGAUUUGAGCUUGAUUAGCGCUCUAUCAUUAAAAAGAGAAACAAAAUUAAAAAAAAUGAAGUAGGCUAGAUCAGUAUUUGACUACAUAAAUAACAGUGUUUUUACAUAGAGAUGCUCAAUUUUAUUAAUGAAGAGGUAUGAAUCUAUGAACAAAAAGAUUUGAGUUUGAUUCGCGCUCUCCAUCAUUAAAAAGGGAAACAAAAUCGAAAAAGAUGAAGUAAACUGGAUCAAUAUUUGACUACAUAUAUAACAGUGUUUCACAUAGAGAUGCUCAAUUUUAUUAAUGAAGAGGUAUGAAUCUAUGAACAAAAAGAUUUGAAUUUGAUUCACGCUCUCUAUUAUUAAAUAGAAAAAAAAAAAGUAAACUGGAUCAAUAUUUGACUGCAUAUAUAAUAAUGUUUUCGCAUUGAGAUGCUCAAUUUUAUUAGUAAUAAACAGGUACGAAUCUAUUGACAAAAAGAUUUAAGCUUGAUUUACAUUCUCCAUCAUUAAAAGAGGAAAAUAACUUAAAAAGAUAUGAAGUGAACAAAAGUACAAGAUCUAACUUACUAGCAUAGAUCAUAUUGUCCCUUACAUAGAUGCUCUAUUGAGAAUUAAAGAGGUUUGAAUAUGUGAACAAAAGAUUUGAGAUUAAUUUCACUCCUCAUUAUUCAAAAAAAAUUGAUAUUAGAUUUAGAAUAUAUAAAAACGUUCAAUAUAAAGAUGCUUAACUUUUUUUUAAUUAUUGAUAAAAAGGUUUAAAUUUACACACAAAAUAAUUUAAAGAUUGAUUCUUCCUCGCAUUCUUAAUAAGAGGUAAAUAAUUGAAAAGGAUGGAGUAAACUAAAGUUCGAUACAAACAAAGAGAUGCUCCAUUUGUUAAUUGAUAAAGAGGUCUAAAUUUACGGACAAAAUAUUUAGAUCAACUUUCGUUCUUCAUCAUUAUAAAGAGAUGAUUAGAUAAUUGAAAAGAAUAAAUUUAGCAAAUAAUAAUGUCCUAACAUGAAAAUGCUUAAUUUUUUUUUGAUAAAGAGGCUCGAAUCUAUGAACAAUUUCUUUCAACUUGAUUCAUUAUCUCCAUCAUUGAAAAGAACCUUAAAUAUUUUCUCCACUUUAAUAUGGAUAGCUAAUUAUGUUAAUAAAAUAAGAGUAGGUACAAAAAAGAAAUUAUAUUUAACAACACUUUGGAAGUGGCCGCCGUCAAGACUAAUAAAGAAUACUUUUUUUAAUUAACAAGACUUUACUCCAUAAAUUGAGAGACAAUUUUGGGAUAGUCAAAUGUAUAGUUUAUUAAGGUAUUAUAUGAUCUUAUUCUUUCUGUUGACAUGUGUCAUUUGAGUACUAUUUGUUUCUUGAUAAUUGUAGAGUUCAAACUAUAUUUACGCCACCUUAAUUAAUUGAAAAAAUAAUAUAAAUUUUAAUAGUUUAGAUCUUAAUAAUUUUUAAAAAUCUCAAUUUUGAAUCAAUCGAGAUAUAUAAUUAGGUUUUGAUAUAUUCAACGAAGAUUCAUUUUUUCCUUUGUAAAGAUACAUAAUUAGCUCAUGAUACAAUUUUUCUAUUUUGAAUCUGUCGCGAGAUACAAAAUACAUUUAAUGAAGAUACAUAUCUAUUUUUCUUUGUAAAGAUACAUAAUUAGCUUUCGAUAUAUUAUUUUCAAUUUUGAAUCUAUCGAGAUACAUAAUUAGCUCCCAAUACAUCCAAAAAAGAUACAUAAUUAGUUGAAAUUUGUAUAAUUACUUUACACGGGUGGAGAUAUAAAUAUAGUAAAUUAACGCAUAUGUUUAUAUUAGUUUUUCUAAUUAAUUCCCUAAAAUAUCUAUCACCUUUCACUAGUAAUAUCUAUCAUGUACAUUAGUAAAACUUCUAUUUGAAUGUUUCUUAUUAGUUUUGAAGUGAAUUAUGGAAUUUUCCUUCACUAUAUUUUAAACUCCCUCUUUUUCAAUUUACAUAUAUCUAACUAGUCUCCCAUUAAAGAUGUUUUCACUUUAAUCAAACUUCUUUUACAUGGGCACCAUGAACAAAUCCUUACUAUUUGUGAUUUUUAACAUUUGCUCGUCACCAACAAUCUUUGUCCAACUUAAUUUUUUACAAUCUAAAGAUCAGGAUUACAAGUAAUUUGAUCUUAUGUUCACGCAUAAGAUCUCUGAUACAAUCCAAAAUGCCUCAGAGCCUUUUGAUGUGAUCAUGAAGUGAGAACUAUCCCUUACUGCUAUCCAAAGGAUGCCACGAGUUGGUGAUUACAUCCCAGAGGGGUCGAGGGGCCUUGGAGAGGUCAAAGGGAAGCAAAGAAAAGUUAGAAGAUGCCUUGGAGGCACCUGCCAAAGAAGUCACCUGCGCCCACAAGUAGGGAGGUGCAGACGCAUAUGGCUUUUUGGCCUCUUCCAGAGUCACCUAUGAAUUGACACACAUGGUAGGUGCCACCUGCAUCCUAAUAUGAGUGGGCAUGUGCUCAAUUUACUGAAAUGGAUCACUUUUGGGCUCAUAGUUAUAAUAAAUAGCUCAUGACUAUAAAUAGUACUAUCUUCGUUCCAUUUUAUGUAUCGCCAUUUGACUGGGCACAAAGUUUAAGAAAUAAGAGAAACUUGGCAAUAUUUAUCAAAUUAUCCUUUAUCAUGGUAUUAUUUUUUUUUAAUUAAGUGAGAUCAAUAAAGGUAAAAGUGGAAUUGUGUAUUUAAAUAGUCACCAAAUAAGGAAAGAUGACAUUCUUUUUGGAACGGACCAAAAAGAAAAUGAUGACACAUAAAAUGGGAGGGAGGAGUAGUUUUUUCUUCAUUUUUAGACUACUUUUGAGGCUAAAGAACAAUUAUACACAUGAGAGUGUGAGUGAGCUAGAAUUAGCUUACGUUGAAAAAUCAUUUGGAAACGUUGAUUGCUUGGGAGUUUGAUUCCCUGAUGGUCUACGUAAGAGUUAAGUGCUAAUUAGGAUUAUUGAAUUGAGGAUUUAGGUUUUAAUAUACCCUUUAUUUGCUUUCAAUUUAUUCUGGUUCUCAUAGUUUUCCCAUUAUCAAUCUCAUACUACAUGUAAAAGUUAUAUAACAUUUACAUGUUUAAUUUGUAUGUUUUGAUUUGCCUAGCUAGUUGUUUUAAAAUGUAAAGACGACUUGAGAAAUCUCUCAUUAAAAAGUACAACUAUAUAUAAAAAUAACUCAAAAAAUCUCUUUUUAAAAGAUACAAUCGUCUAAUGUGUCCCAUGAAAUCUCUCAUUCAAAGGUAAAGUUAUUUAAUCUGUAUAUACAAGACGCAAAAAGAACAUCUUAUGAAAUUCUCAUUGAAAUGUAACUAUUUGAUCCAUGUUGUGUAGUCAAAUGAGCACUAGAUGUAAAAAGGAAAUCUCUCAUUAAAUGGUACAUCAGAUGUAAAAAGAACUCAUGAAAUCUCUCAUUUAAAAGUACAACUAUUUGAUCUUGUAUGAAAAAAAAGGUAAAAAGAAUUCAUGAAAAUUUCUUAUUAAAAGAUAUAAUUAUUUGAUUAUUUACACUAGACGUAAAAAUGACUCAUGAAAUCUCUUCUCAUUAAACGAUAUCAUAGUUUGAUCAAUGUACACCAAACGUGAAAAAAGUCACUCCUCCCUCCAUCAAUAUAAAAAGUAAAUCGAACAAAGAGAAACGAGGGGAAGAAGAUAAUUAAAUUAAAAAAAUUGGCUGGUAAGCAAUUAUUACGAAAUUAAUUAAGUACUUAAUCCAACCAAUACCAAAUGUUUUCAAAUCAAGAUUCUAAGAUUAUAUCAUAAAUUAAACCUUCAAGUUAUACACCAAAUAUAAUACCCCAUGUCUUGAUCCAUAGAUGAUCAGUACAAUUUACUAUUCAAACAAUAUUGUCAUCUACCUAUAUAUACAUGUUCAAAUUGAAACUAAUUGAGACAGAAAAUUUUUGACCUCAAUAUGUAUAAUUGAAGAAGGUGAUAGUGAUGAGCAAAGCAUAAAUACGAAAAUAAAAAAAAUAGGAGAUCAUAAUUAACAAAGUAUUGCUAAUUAAUUCCAUAUAUACUAAUUUUCCUACCUUAGUUAAUAAAUUCAUGAGAUGAAGGAGGGAAAAAAUAAAUAUAUAAAUAAAGCAUCAUCAGAAGCGGAUAAAUUUAGUGAUGGCAUAUUUGGUCAAGCUUCUAAUAGGUCAAACAUGCUUUAUUUUUUGUUUAAGAGUUAUCAAACUAGCUAGCUCGUAGUAUAUCUACAUAUAUAAUUACAUCUUAUAAAAAAAAAAAAAAUACCAAAAAUAUAGAAAUACCUUUUAUUCGAUUAAAAACAUAAUCUUGUAAUGGCCAUGAAGGAUGAUUAGUUAAAUAUUUUUUAUACAAAAUUAUAUUGCACAUAUAUAAAACAUAUUAAGUAUAUAGUAUAUAUAUUGAAAUCUCAUACCUUAGCGAAAUUAAUUUUCAGCUGGGCCAUCUAGUCAUAAUUUGCUGAUGCAGCAUCAUCAAGAUUCUCAUGUUCAAAACUAAUUAAUUAGAAACAGAUUUUAUUACAAAGUAAUAUUUUUUUUUCCCUGCUCCCCAUAAUUUGUUGUAUGUGAAUCUUGAUAGUGCUGCAGCUGCAAAUAACAACUGUAUAUAUAUGUAUCUCAAUCACUUGACCAUCUAUAAGAAUUGAUGGAAGUCAAAAUAAAAUAAGAAAAAAAAAAAAAGGAGUAUGAGAUCUGAACUCAGUAUAUAACAAAGAGGUAGAAUCCGGUGAACGAAAUAGAAGUGAAUCCAGUAUUUUUGACACGAAAUAUUGAUGUAAAUGUGAAAAAUAUUAAAACCUUUAUAUAUGAAGAUAAAUUUUGAGUUCAUAAUUUAAAAGUAUACUGAGUUAUUUUAACAUAUCAAAUUUAAAUCCUGAAUCCCUAAUCGUCAAAGAUUUCACUAAGAUCUCCAUCUAAAAAAUUUUGAGGAGAAAGAAUACAAAUUGAACAGAAAAAAAAUAAUACAAAGAUUCAGUUAAAAAUAGUGGAUGGAUUCAAUAUAUCAAAAAGAAAAAGAGGGGUACAUGUUGGAUUAAUAAAGCUAUUUUCUUGAGGUAAUUAAAAUUGUGAGAACUAGAAGAAAAAUUUGUAGUGAAGAAUCAUUUGAGUUUUCGAAUAAAAUAUUUUCCUUCAAUACAGAAAAUAAAACAUUAGAAAUACCACAAGAAGAAGAGCAUUACAUGUUGAAUGAAAGAGUUUUGUUGAACUUGUGUAUAUAUACACAGAGUCCCCAACCCCACCCCACCCCCACCCCCUUGUGUGGACCAAUGAAUAUUAAUAUUUAUUAAUAGGAAUUAACUAAUAUUUUUCUUCAUUUUAAUUUUAAAAACUUUCUAACUAACACAAAAAGAAAAAAAUAUGAAAUAUAUUAAAAGGGAAAAAAAUAGAACACAUAAACUAACAUAAUGGAAGUAGAUAUAUUUCAGGUCCAAUCAAUUUAAUGGUUCGACUCUUCCGCAGAUUCUAGGAAUUAAUGAGAGUUUAGUACACCAAGCUGUUAAAUCGAGUUAAUGAUGAAUAGUUGGACCAAGAAAACACAAGGCAACAAUCUUGAUUUGAUGUCGUUACCAGAACAAGAGAUAUGAUCAUCAUAUAUUUAUUGUUUAUCGGAUAUAAAUUAAUUUUUUUUUCUAUUUCAUAAGUUGAAACGAUUUACAUAUUCACUUGACUAUAAAUUUUAUCUCAUUUAAGUUAGCUACAUAUAUUGCUCGUUUAUUCAAAAAUUAUGAUCGAUCAAUAAUAGUUGCAUGUCUAACCACUUUCUCCUUCUUAAUCCGGCGAUUAGACAUGACAUCUAAUCCCCUUGAAUAAUCUAAGUAGUAUAUGUACAUCAAUUAAUCAAAUUACAAUAUUUUUUUAAUAUAAUUUUUUUGUUGUUAUAUUUAACUUUCACACAUGACGUCAUGUUAUUUUCAACUAGAAAUUAAGUUAGGACAAUUAAGAAAUAAUUACUCCAACAUAUGGGCAGACAACCUAGUAUCCUUUGGAUAUUUCUGUCCUCAAUUGAACCCCCACAAUCAAUUCUCAAGUGGAGUAUCAUCAAUGAACUAUAUUUCAUUGAUACAAUCAUGAUAGUCUGUCGAUUGUGAUCUGACUCAGCAAUAAUAUUAUAUAUAAAAAAAAAAAUUCGUUCUUAUUAGAGUGAAGGUGAGAUUUGUCAAACGUGAUUUGACUUAACAGUAACAUUAUACGAGAAGAUACUUUUGCUUUCUUUUUAACUUACAUAGUAAUGUGACUAGCACCAUACAUUAUGUUGAUAUAUUUUUGCGUGAUUCAACCUUGGGAUAGUUGAUUAAGCAUCUUCAUUAACAUAAAUAUUUAAUUAAGCAUCUACUUAGUUACAAAUAUUUUUUAAAAAAUAAUUACUUAAGUCUUCUUUUGAAAUUGGAGAAGUGGUUAUCCACUAGUUAAUGUCUCUUGCUUGUGGAACCAUGGACGGUUUCACUGUUUUUUCUUUUAUAUAAAGAAAAACAAAUGCUAUGAUCAUACUGCAUUUUUGUAAAUAUUAAAAAAGAAAAAUACUAUAGACAUUUUGAAAAAGAAUAAAUGAAUGGAGUAGUUGAUUAUUUUAUUCGAAAUAUAAAAUAAAUUCUUUUCAAUUCAACAGGAGAAGACUCUGUGCCUUCAAUUAAUUCAAGCAAUGUAGAAAGAAAGUCGUAUGACAACCAAUUAAAUUUGUCAACAUUGUUCAUGAACACAACAUCAAAAAUACUUUUGAAAAAUCUCUCAUGAAAAGGUACAAUUAUCCACAAUCAUCGUAUAAAAUGUCUUAAUAUAUGUUGCUUAACUAGUUCAUCUUAAUGUGUACUAGUCAUUUGAUUUGAUAUUAUUCUAUAUUGACUAUAUAGAUCAAGUUGGUAAAGAUUUACGUUUCAUUACUAAUUUCAUGGUUAAAUAUUAUCAAAAAUAAUGAAGUUUGUCCUAUUCACAUUGAAACUUCACAAAUACACAUGAACUCUUUUAAUCAAUGGUUAAUUAGGCAUUGAUUGACUCUGAAUUGCUAUCUGGUGAAGUUCCACUUGUACUAGAAAUAAGACAAAUAUUUUUUUUAAUAAACGAAACUUUCACUAUGUGCAUGAUAAAAAAAAAAAAAAAGGUCUGAUCAUUAACCUUAUUUUGCAAGUGUUGAGAACACAAUAACAUAAAUAAAAAUUUGUUAUUUUUAAAAGCUUAAGUUUUUAGAUAAGAAGAUCACAAUUUUAAUAGAAAUCAGAGUAUAUCUGAGAUUUUGAUUACUUAGAGUCUUACAAUCUUGAAUAAAUAUCAUGUAAUUGGCCAUAAAACAAAAUCAGAUCCACAUAUAAAGAGGUGUGCACGAAUUUAAUCAAGCAUUCUUAUUUAUUAAUCGAUCAUGAACUUUGCAAUGACAAUUCUUAAAUUGCGUAACGCUCCCCUUCAAUCUAAGCUUCCUCUAUAUGUGGAUCUGAAAUAGGACCCAGCCAUAUUGAACCUAUUUUUUGUGUAUAUAUAAGAAUAUUAAAGAAAUGCAGUGUGAAUGCAUCAAGUAUAUUCUACAGACUAUAUUAUUAUAUAAUGUAUGAUAAGUUAUAAUUUAUCAAUAAAACUUUCAUAUGUACAGCUACAGCUUCCAAGUUGGACUGAUUCACUGUAGAUUCGUUCACACAUCUAAUUAAUUUUUUAAAGUUUAAUUUAUUUGAGUAAUGCAAUGUUAUGAAGUUUUUCUUUUCUUAAUCAACAUAAGCAAAGACCAAUAAACGUGGAUCAUAUCUGGAGGGAACAUGCUUUUUUGAUCACAUAUAUAUUUUUUUCGACGAUUAUAAGAGAAAGAAAGUCACUAAAUAACUGCUUGUAGUUCCUGAGUCUACGAGCUAAAAAAUUGACUUGACCUAAAGAGGUUGUCCUCUCCAGGCUAGUAAUUCCACGACUAUUUUUGUGGUUAUUGUCAACGGGAAUUCUGUUCUCAAAGGUUACUCUAUAGAUCGACGAUUAGUUCAAAAUUGUAAUAUACUGUUAUAGUAUCGAUAGAUUCACUCCUUCAGGGUGAGAAAUUUUGUGUGGACUAGCUAGUUGUUUUUCGGACCGACUUUUAAAAAAUAAUUAGCAUUUAAAAGAAAAAUAGCCACAUGAAAAUACCAAAAUAGUGUCAUGAAUUUUGAAUUUAAGCAAAUAAAAGUUUCAGGAUAUUAUCAUUAAUUUUAAUAUAAAUUUAUAAUAUAUAUUACUCCAUUACUUGUGUGGAACAAAAGCUCCAACUACAUAUUCUUUGACUAGAAGUGAAGAUUCAAUACAUGUUGUAUAAUAUAUAGUUGUAUCGAAAUCAAUCUUGCUUAGUGCCUAAAUAGUUUCUCGGGUUGAAUUUCAGUUACUUAUUUAAUAUGUGGGAAGACGUUAAAAACACUCAUAAAAUUUCUCAUCUAAAAAUACAGGUGUCAAUUGACAGUUAUUUAACACUUUAUACGUAUAACUGUCAAUGGAGUAUUAUGGCACACUUGAUAUUUGAUCUAUUUGACUCAAAUUUUUAGUAUUUAUGAAAACGUCAAAAAAACUCAUGAAAUCUCUCAUUAAAAAUAUAACCGAUUAUUUAACAAUAUUGUAGUCAACCACAGUUGUGCACUUACUUAGAUGUGCCUAAAUGGUUGUCUAGGCACCAACUUGGAAUUAUUUGAUAUAUUUAAACUCAAAUAUUUAGUAUAUGCAAAAAAAGACAAAAGCACUGAAGAAAUUUCUCAUUAAAAGGUAGAAUUUAUAACAAUUAUGUAUAUACAAUAAUUGCACUAGAAACUCACCAACCCUUCAUUCCAAGUUGAAGAACUGCAUUGUGUGGAAUGCUAGGGGGGCCAAGAAUGUUGAGUUUAGGAAGCAUUACAAGGCUAUGGUCAAUAUGCACCAACCAUGUAUCCUAGCCUUGCUUGAAACCAAGAUGACUGAUCACCAAGACCUUUGUGAAGAGCUUGGAUACCACAAUCAUAUCCAAGCUGAAACAAAUAGUAACUCAGGUGGGAUUGUCAUCAUGUGGAAAGAGGACUCUAUCUCCAUUUCUUCUAUCUCCAUCUCUCCUCAGGUCAUCAAUGCUAAAGUUAAGGUAAACUCUCCCCCUUCUACUUGGUUUCUUAGUGUCAUUUAUGCUAGCACUGACUUUCAAACCAGACCUGACCUCUGGGACCAGCUCUCUUCUUUCUCUGAUAACUAUAUUCUUUCUGAGGGCAAGAGCUGGUAAGUUGGGGGAGACUUCAAUGAAGUCCUAAAGGCUUCAGAAAAAUUUGGAGGCUCCAGGAUUAACAUUAACAGGUCUAACCUUUUUAUGAAUUGCCUAAAUUACUGGAAGCUCAUUGAUUUAGGUUUCCGAGAUAGUAAGUACACUUGGUCCAAUAUGAGAUAUAGGAAUAGACAAUGCCUCAUCCUAGAAAGGCCUGACAUAUGCCUUGCUAAUGAUGAUUGUGUACAUCUUUACCCAGAGGCCACCAUCACUCACCUUUCUAGAUACCACUCUGACCACUCCCCUCUUCUUCUUAAUGUGGGUUCUCCCCCUCCCAACCAGGUUAAGCCUUUUAGAGUGGAAUCCAUGUGGCUUAGUCACCAAAAUUUUCCUAACCUUAUAAAAGACUCUUUCCUGGAUUGUCUAUGCAUCACUGUGGCUACCACUGAGUUUGAAGAUAGGGCUAGGAAUUGGAAUAAACUUCUUUUUGGUAACAUAUUUGCCAAGAAAAAGCACUUGCUUGCAAUGUUAGCUGGCAUUCAGAACUCUCCCAAAUACCCUAACAGCCCUUUCCUUUAUGGACUAAAGGCAACCCUCCUGAAAGAGUUCAACCAUGUACUCACCCUAGAGACUGAAUUCUGGAAACUCAAGUCCAGAAUCUCUUGUCUGUUAGAAGGGGACUCCAACUCUAGAUUCUUCCAUACCUCCACUCUCAAUAGAAGGAGAAGAAAUAAAAUUAAUUUCCCCAUUGAUGAUAGUGGCAACUGGCACUACCAUCAUUAUGAUAUUAUUCAAAUGGUGUCCUCUUAUUAUGCCAACCUCUACACUACUGAUCAUACCCUGGGUUAUAUGGUUACCCAGCCCAACCUCUCUACUAAGGAUAGCAUCAACCCCCUCAACCAUGAAGCCCUUCAGGCCAUCCCUUUCAUGGAGGAGGUCAAAAUGACUAUAUUUUUCUUCAAACCUAAUAAGGCCCCUGGGCCUGAUAGUCUUCAUCUUUUUCUUUAUCAGAAAUUUUGGGACACUAUGGGUCCCCCCUGUUCAAAUUUUGCCAGAAAACCUUUACCUCCUACUCUAUGAACCCUCAAGUGAACUCUACUUAUCUUUGCCUCAUUCCCCAAUAUAGGAAUGCAACCUCCCUUAAGAACUUCAGAUCCAUAGGACUCUGCAAUACCCAAUAUAAGCUCAUUACCUAAAUCAUAACCACCAGGCUGAAACCUCUCCUGGCAAAAAUCAUUGGCCCUUGCCAGGCCAGCUUCAUGGCAACAGGAGAGUCUCUGACAAUGCUAUCAUUGUGCAAGAGUAUGUUAGUCACUUCUCCAAGAUGAAGGGAAAAAAGGAUAACAUGUUCUUCAAAAUUGACCUGAAAAAAGCCUGAUAGAUUGGAGUAGUCCUUUAUCAAUCAAGCCCAGGUUUUCUUCAACUUCCCCCUAACCUUAUCAAGCUCUUCCUCUCUUGUGUCUCUUUUUCAUCCAUCUAUGUUCUUGUUAAUGGGGGAAAACAACCAACUUCACUCCCUCAAGAGGCAUUAGAUAAAGAGACCACAUGUCCCUCUACCUCUUCAUACUUUGCAUGGAAAUAUUGUUUAGAAGAAUCAACCAUGAAGUUGACAUUCUUAAUUGGACAUCCAUUUCCAUCUCCAACAAAGGGCACCCUGUCUCUCAUCUCUUCUAUGCUGAUGGACUCACUCUCUUUGCAAGAGCUGAUCUAAAGAACUGUCACACCAUCAAUAAAAUCCUUCACAGUUUCAACUCUCAUUCUGAGCGAAGGAUCAACCUUGCUAAAUCUAAGGUCAUCUUCUCUGCUAACUGUACUCUUGAAGAACAAAGGAACCUCAGCAACAUUUUGGGCAUCCAUCCUUUCACUACCUUUGGUAAAUACUUGGGCUUCCCCAUCUUCCAUAAAAAGUUUGAGAAGGGUGAUUUUCAAUUUCUCAUUGAUAAUCUGAACAUCAAACUUGCUGGAUGAAAAAAAACAAAUUCCUCAACAUAACUGGCAGGGUUACCCUAGCUAAAUCCUCCUUGGCUAGCAUUUCUAACCAUGUCAUGCAAUACAUCCAUCUUUCAAGCUCCAUUCAUAAACUCAUUGACAAAUCUCAAAGAAACUUCAUGUAGGGCACCACUGAUGCCAAGAGGAAAAUACACCUCCUGGGGUGGGACACUAUUACCCUUCCCAAAAGAUAUGAGUGGCUAGGUAUGCAGAGAGCUAACAUCAAGAACAAAGCUCUUCUUUGUGGCUUGGGAUGAAGAAUAUACUCCAACCCCACUUCUCUUUGGGCUAAUACUUUUUUUUUUCAAAUACAACUCUAAGGAUAAGUUCAAUGUUGGCUCUAGAACCUGGAAAAGUAUCACUGAUGGCUAGAAGCUAUGCAAGGAUGCCCUAUUCUGGGACAUCAAGGAUGACACUAAGGUGAAUUCCUAGAAAGAUAGAUGAAUUCCUGGAAUACCCUCUCUUUCUUAAAUUAUCCAGGGGUCCAUCCCAUCUCUCCAUAUUCACACUAAAGUCAAAGAUAUCUGGAAGGAAGGCAGAUGGGACUUUACCCCUCUGCCCUUCUACGUCCCUCCCAGUAUUAUCCAAAACAUAAAAAGUGUCUUUUUGCAGAGCCCCAACCUUAAGCAAGACACCUCUAUUUGGAGACUUACUGGAGAUGGCACCUUUUCCUGUAAAAGUGCUUACUAUCACAUCAAUACUUGGAAAGACAUCCCACCAUUAAUCACCAUUCCUAAACUAAAUCUGGAACCUUAUAAUCCUUAACAAGAUAAAGACCUUCAUGUGUCUCUUGCACCACAACAUUCUUCCUACUAAUUAUACUCUUGCCAAAAGAGGCCUGAACAUCACCUCCUCCUAUCACAAUUGCAGCAAUAGUCAGGAGGACCAACACCAUAUCUUCUUUGAAUGCAAUGUUGUCAAGAUCUUUUGACACCAUCUUAUUCAAAAAUACAAAGGAACCAUGCAGCUAAAUAUCCUCAUGUUUGACACCAAUAAUUGGCACUCCACCUAAAAAAUCCUGAGUAAUGAGGAUUUUGACCCUAACACCCCCUGGAGCACCUUGCUCCCUUUUCUGCCUCUGGCAUCUCUGAAAGAUCAGAAAUGGCAAAAAUUUUCAAAACUCUAACUCUCAAUCUUGCUUCAUCAUACCCCAUGCUGAAGCAGUGGAGUACAACCACUUAAUAGAUCUUAGAAAUUACCUCCCUAGGACCAGCAUCACCAUUACAUGGCAACCCCAUCCUCAAACCCCUACAAUCUCAACACUGAUGGGUCCUGUCUUGGGAACCCAGGUAGGGGAAGGAUAGGUGGGAUCAUCAAGAAUAGUAGAGGAGACUGAGUGAUGGGGUACAGUAGGAGCUUCACCCAUGCCACUAACAAUCUCAUGAAACUCUUAGCCCUCAAAGAAGGCCUCAACUUAGCCAUGGAACAUAACUUAAAGCCCUUAGAUAUCUGCAUUGACUCUCUAGAAGUGAGUAACAUGCUGCACUAUGAAUACUUGCUAUAUAAUUCUAUUGUAUUUGUAUGCAGAUCUCUACUAGAGAAGAUGGGGAAUCCUCCAGUUUACCACUCAUAGAGUAGCAGAUUCAAUGGUGAAGAUGGGCUCAAAGCAAGACCUGUUUGACAACCUUCAUAUUUUUGUUACUCCUCCAGUCAGUAUAGGAGUAGUUUUUUGGGAAGACUUCAAUGGGAAAUCCUUCUCCCGAGUUGUAUCUAGUAAUGAUAGUCUUAAUCAAAACACUCAUGUUUUUGUACCUGAUUAGGUCUUGCUUGUAAUUAACCUUUAUUUACAUUAAUGCAUAUCCUCUUCUUCAUGAAAAAAAUAAUAAUUUAAUUUCUAAACGUUGUAUGCUAGUUGUUUCUCUCAACAUGUACUAUUUGAUGUUAUACCGAUAUUAUUUAAUCAUGAUAUUUAUUGAAUAGUAAUUAUUUUUCAGUUAUAACGAUUGAAAGUGGUUAUUUGUGAAUUUUUUCUUAAAAAACUAUAUGCAUAUAAGGUAAGAGAUCGACAUACUAAAAUUGCUCUAAUCAAUAUUAUUUGUACUUUAAUAUUAUUUGUAUUCAUUUCCACUAAAAGCUUUUCAACUUUAAAUUUUUAACGCUUCGGAUCUUUCUUAAAAAAAAUAAAUAAAAGAACUAAAAAUUAUACAAAUACACUACUUAUGUUUUCAAUAUUACAAAAAAUAUCAAUUCCUUAAACAUAUUACAAAAAUCUCAAUAUAUACACAAAAUGUUAUGUAUAUAUCGGCUAUGUUAUGUAUAUUAAUAGAGACAGAGAGUAAAAUAAUUAAAAAUGUGGGAGAGAGUAUAGUUACUUCUAAAAGAAUUAGUAUUUAUGUUAUUUAUACUAAAAAAAAUGCAAACAUAAGCAUUAAUAAGGCCCAAGAUAAAAUGUCAAUGAGGCUCAUUAAUGAUUCUAAAAGAGACACGGCCCAUUAUUCCCUUGAAUUUCUGAGCCCAAACUCUUCACACAUAUCAUAACACAACGAGUCAUUGAAAGUUACAGAGUUAAUACAUAAAAAUGAUCCUAAACUUGACACCAAAUUAUAACUUUGAUCUUAAACUUUGAUAGUGCACAAAUAAGAUCUUUAAAUAUUCAAAACCUGAACAAAUAUGACCUCCGAUUUUGCAACCCCAUGCGUGAGUCUCACUCGCACCUACGUGGAAAGGUAAUCCAAUCACACGGUGUCACAUCGUUAAAAGGACUGACUUGGAGAGAGAUCAUAUUUGUGCAGUUUUGAAUAGUUAAAGGUCAUAUUUGUGCACUAUCAAAGUUGUUUUUUAUAUUAAAACGACGUCGUUUAUUAUUAUUAUUAUUAUUAUUAUAAUAAUAAUAAUAAUAAUAAUAAUAAUAAUAAUAAUAAUUUUAUUAUUUAUUUCUAUAGUAGCAGCACCUAAUUUUUUUUUUAAUUUUAAAAAAUUAUUAUUAUUAUUAUUAUUAUCAUUAUUAUUUUAUUUAUUUCUAUAGCAGCAACACCUAGUUUUUUUUAAUUAAAAAAAAAAACAGUCACUAGUAAGGAUCGAACCCGCACAGUAGGCUGAAGGAAGCACCCAAGAAGAGCAAAUAACACCACUGGGCUAUCUAAGUGCNNNNNNNNNNNNNNNNNNNNNNNNNNNNNNNNNNNNNNNNNNNNNNNNNNNNNNNNNNNNNNNNNNNNNNNNNNNNNNNNNNNNNNNNNNNNNNNNUUUUUAUUAUUAGUAUAGUUUCAUCUUUAAUUUAAUAUUUAAAAAAAUAAUAUUUAGAUAUAUUAUAUAACUUAAAUUCGUCCUCUGUUUUGUAAUAUAUAUACAUACUCGCUCGAUAUUUUCAUAUGAGGCUAAUCCGUCUAAUUAAUAAAUCUUCAAUAUUGCUCUUUUUUCUCAAUGACAAAAGAAAUUAGAUGUCAUUUUCAUCUUUGAGCCGAAAAUAAUGAAAAAAUAAUAGUGAAGAAUCAUUUAAAGGUCAUAUUUGUGCAGUUUUGAAUAGUUAAAGGUCAUAUUUGUGCACUGUCAAAGUUUAAGGUCAUAUUUAUGUAUUAUACCCUUAGAUUUUAAGCUGGACGCGCCCAGUUUUGCGUGUUGAACACGCGUUUUGCCACGUAGGAUUGGAGGUCAUAUUUGUAUAAUUUUGAAUAAUUAAAGGUCAUAUUUAUGCAUUGUCAAAGUUUAAGGUCAAAGUUAUAAUUUGGUGUCAAGUUUAAGGUCAUUUUUAUGUAUUAACUCAAAGUUAUACGUAGCAUGUUAAAUUGGAACAACAAAGAGAUUGAGAAAGCAUACAGUAACGUAUGCAGAAUUUUUUAUUUGAUCGUCAAGAUGUAACACUAUUGCGAUGAUAUUGUCUGCCUUGAAUUAAUUAAACUUCAUAAUUUUUAACGUCUUACUAAUAUAUGAAAUUUAUUAUCUUAAAUAAUUAACAUUUCUCACGUAUUUUGCCGAUACAAAACAGCCAUGGGUAAAGCCACCUAUAUCAAAGGGUGAUCAGUGCACACCCUUCAUCGAAAAAUUAUAUUGUGUAUAUAGGCUAAAUGUUAGCUAUUAUGAGUAUAUAUUUAAUUUUGCACACACAAAUAAAAAAAAAAUUUACACAAUCUUCAUCAAAUUCCGGACUCUAUUGCUGAAAACAACAUUUGGGAAACGGUUUUUUUUUUUUUUUUUUAUGCUGUUGUUGUAACUAGACUUGUCCAUUAAAGGUGGAUGAAUCCCCUUGAACUUGCUUUUGAGAUUAAGCUUUAGAUCCAAAAUCUACAUCAUUGAUGCGGUUAGAUUUUUCACCAAGAAAAUUUUCAAAAUAUACAAAAAAUAAACACUCAAAAUCUUAAAUAAACAAGUGUAUUUCACGUUUACUAUAUAUAAAGUACGUAAAAUAUAUUUUGAUCGUAUAUAUAUGAUAUAAUUUAUUGCCAAGGAAGUUUUCAUGAACCCUUUGCGCCACUAGCUCCAUCUAACCUCCCCCACCCCCCGCAACCCACCCCACCCACCCCCCCUUUUUCUCUCUUCUACUUUUUGGUUUCAAAUUUUGAUGUGGCAAUUAUCCAGAAAGAAAAUCAAAGUAACGUGUUACUCUUUUUUGAGCUACUAGAUUUGCAUAGGUGGUCUGUUAUCCAAAUUAAAGAGAAGACUUUAAUUUAAUUUUAUGGUAGUUGGGAUCCUCCAAUAUCCUUGGGCAUGACUUGGAUUCUACUCUAAUUGGACAUGUAUUUUCUACGUGGCGAUAAUGUACGAUUACACGUGGCAAAGAUAAUGUUGGCAAAUAGGUAAGCUACUAAUGACAUGUGGCACCAUCUAAGCAUGUCCAAAUUGCUACAUAUUAUUGGUUAGGUUGACUGCAUUUAUUUGACAGAAUAAUAGUAUUUCUUUUUUAGAGAACGACGCUGUGUAACACUUUUUAAAAUAAAUAAUUUAAGUUUGAGAUUUUGUCAAAAAGUGACCAGUAGAUAAAAUAUUUUUACUUUAUAGCUAUUUCCUAAUUUGAAUCAUUUUGGCUCAGGUAGUUCAGAAACAGUCCAUAUAUACAGUUUUCAACUUAGGCUAUUCAUCCCUUUUAAAAAUAUUUUUUUUUUGCUAUAAAUUUUUUAACUAAAAAAUAUUCUAGUUUUUUUUUUUUGAAAUAAUAAUUAAAUAUAAUUAUAUAAAACGGUAUAAUUGUUGUAUAGAAUAUGUAUCUAUAUAAGAUACAUGUAUAAAAAUUGUAUAGUUCAUCAAAUAUGUAUAUGUAUAAAAUAUAUAUAUAAAAAAAAAUAUAGAAAGUGCAUAAAAAUUAUAUAAUUGUUGUAUAAAAUUUGUAAAAAAAGUACAAUUACUAUAUAAAUUGUGUAUCAAAAUUGUAUAAUUUUCGUAUAGAAUAUUUAUAUAUAAGAUAUGUAAAGAAACUGAAUAGAAGGUGUGUAGAAACGGCAUAGAACAAGCCAACAAAUUAAAAUGGCUAGAAAGUGAAAUUAAAUUUCAUGGAAAUAAUUUAAUUUGAAGUGUCGUUUCUGUCCUUUCCACUUUCUUUUUUCCUUUGGUAUUGAUAACUGAUUUUUCCGUUCAUCUUUACUUAUUCAAUUUAAAAAAUCAAUAGAUAAUUUAUUAAUUUAUAUCUAUUUUACUUUUAAUAUUAAAUACUAUUUAUAAUGCAGUGCAUUUUUCAAAGAUUAAUAUAAUAAAUUAUUCAUAUCAUUUAUUAUUUCUUAAGUUGUGUCAUGUGUGUCAAGUCAAUAAUAGACGAAUAUAAUAAAUUAUUCAUAUCAUUUAUUAUUUCUUAAGUUGUGUCAUGUGUGUCAAGUCAAUAAUAGACGAAUAUAAUAAAUUAUUCAUAUCAUUUAUUAUUUCUUAAGUUGUGUCAUGUGUGUCAAGUCAAUAAUAGACGAUUAUUAUUGAAAGGAAGGAAUACUCUUGACUUUUGUAAAUUUGCGCUAGUGUAUAUAUUCCCGUGUAUCUCUGCUUUGGGCAUUAGUUCAUUUAAAUUUGCGCUGAAAAGUCAUAUUUGUGAUAAAAUAUUUUCUUGUAAAGAUAACUUCAUGAGACUUGAACUUGAAGGACUUCUAAUCCUAGAUGAGAUAAAGUGUUAAAUUAUUUUUUUAAAAAAAUUUAAUUGGAAAUUUCGAGUUUUACUUUGUUAAAAGCAUUAUACUAUCAAAAUAACUCAUUCCGAUCGAUGUGAAUUCAAAUUAUUUAAUUUUCAAAAUAAAUAGUAAAAAUCAUAAUCUUUCGAUCAUGGAGGUUUUGGUUCUUGUUCCCCUCCAUCAUAUCUAUCUCAGAUUUUUCACUAUCUCGAAAGGUAAAAGCAUGGAUGGAUGGAUGGAUUUAAACCAACAAAAUAAAAAUAAAACAACAGCAACAAUAAAUUCAAUGUAUUCCCACAAAAUGGGGUUUGGGGAGGAGGGUAAAACGUACGUAGUCCAUACUGCUACCUCCGAAGAAGUAGAGAGGCUAUUUUCGAUAGACCCCCGGCUCAAAAUAAAGAAUAGUAAAUAAGGUCGCAAUGAAACAUCAAACAUGAUGGCUGGCAUAACAGAAAUAAGGAAUAAGAAAUAAUAAAAAUAGAAAUAACAGAAAUAAGAAAUAAGACACCAACACAGUAGUACCAUACAUUCAUAGACCAAAGACACCAAAACUCUCCUAGGAUUUCUAACCAGGCUACACAAAAGCUAUCCUAACUACUUACUACGACUCACCCACACACUAGUCUUCUGCCCUUAUUCGCGACUUCCGCACCUUCCUAUCUAGGGUCAUGUUGUCAGAUAAAAAUAAAAAUGAAAAUAAAUAUUAAAAAUCAGAUAAAAAAAAAGAAAAAAAAACAGAAAAGACCACAAUGGAGGGGCAUUUAUUAUUAUCCCAUGAAUUUAAGAAGCACAAAAUUGCAAUAUCGUGAUCCAUACCUUUUUUAAACUUAGCUGAGUUGUUCAAAAUAAAUUGACGAAUAUCAAAACAUCAACAAAUAUCAAAAAGGAAACAGCUAAAUACACUUUAUCUUUAUUUAUUUUAAAAAAAUAUAUUUGCUAUUAUAGAUUAUAUAAUUAGUAUAUAAUCAAUGUAUAAUUAGCAAGCUAAGUAUGCAUUUUACACCGAACCGCAAACCAAACCAAACCGAUAAAAAAAUCGACAUUUGGUUUGGUUUGGUUUGAUUUUAGAUUUUAAAAACCGAUAUUUAUGUGGUUUGAUUUUAAUUUUACUCUAAAAUAACCGAUAAAAUAAUCAAACCGAACCGAUAUAAUUAUGAAUUUAAAUUUAGCCAUAACACUUUUAGUCAUAUGUCUUUAUCUAGUUGACAGUACUUUAUGAGACUCAAAAUAAUUUUUGCACUUUGAAUGACAUAUGAUACUAAUUGUGAAAAUUAUUUUGUUGUCUAUGAUAUUUUAAAGGUGGGUUUCAUUAGACUAUAGACAAUCGCUAGUUUUGAACUUUUUAUUUGGUCCCUAUUGAGAAAAAAAUAUAUGUGUUCAUCGUUUGGGGAGUUCACAUAUCGUACUCUUAUAUGUAACUUCUAAAUAUUUUUUGUAGAAGCGUUCAUAUGGUUUUGUUCGUGGCGUUGCCUAAGUAUAGCAAUGAAUUGACAUUUUAGUUUCAAGGUUAAGGUACAAUACUUGGUUGGCAUCUCAUAUAUUGUACUGAAUUUUUUUAAAAAAUUUAACAUGUAUCAUUAGCUAAAGUUAUAAAUCGAGACCGAACCAAACCGAACUAAACCGACAAGAAUCAAACCGACGGUUAUUUUCUCGUAUUGAUUUGGUUUGAUUUUAGAAAUUUAAAAACCGACUAAGUUGGUUUGGUUAUGAUUUUGACCAAUAACCGACCCAUGAACACCCCUACUUGUUAAAUAUCGAAUAUACACCAACAAUAAUUACAAAAUGUUACCAACGGCACUAACUAAUUAUUUUUUAUAUUGUCAAUAUAUAGAAGUUAAAUUUGAAUAUUUACGGCUUAUUUUCCGCUAAAAGUUUCAAAUGUAAUUUUUUUAAACUCUAUGCUCAAUCACAGAAGAUAACGAUAUGGAUUAUUUUUAAACAACUUUUCUACUACAUUUGAGGUAAUGGUAUAAACUGUGUACACUUUAUCAUUUUCAGACCUCACUUUGUGAGAAUACACUGAAUAUAUUAUUGUUGCAGUAUGCAUGAUCAUAGAGAGUCACAUUAAUUGGGAAAUAUGGUUUUUUUUUUUAAUUUUUUUUUAUGGUGUGAUGUUGGCUCUAUGUCAAGAAGAUUUUAAUCACCUAAGUAAUUUACAUAGGUAGUAAAGAACAACCUUAGUUGCUACUUGUUUCUUAUUCAGAGUGUCUGAUACUUAUAUUAGAGUUUCGUUAGAUUCAAAAUUGUAUUAAAAAAUCUCGCACUUAGCAUUCUAUAAAAAACACAACUCGAAAUUAAACAUGAUUUGAAUCCGAAAUAUCUGAUUCAAAAUAGAAGAAUGGUAACCACUCAACCACAGCUCUAACUCUUUUGUUGGUCGAAAAGAAGUGUCUUAGUGAGAUCAUCAAAUUACGGAAUUUGACUUCUUCAAAAGAAAUUAAAUUUGCCAACUAGAAAUGAAGUACUAGUACACGAGCUUCCUCACUUUACAUUUGCCAAAAAGUAAGUUUCAACAACCUUUUAUAAAAAUUAAUUGGUCAAACAAAUAUUACUUCAACUUCUAUAUAUUGUCCCAUUUCUCUUCUCAUUUUUUCACACCUCAACAAAACAAUUACAUUGCCUUAAACACCACUAUUAUUUCUCAAAAAAUGCCAAGUCCUUCACUUUUCAUACUAGUUUUCAUUAUUAUUUAUUUUAUCCUCUUCUCUCCUACUACUAUUCUUGCCACUAAACAUUAUGAAGCUUCAACAAGAUUUAAACCUAAAAUUGGAAGAAAACAAGGUAGUUUUCAUGGUGAUCAAGGUGUGGAGGAUUGUUUACCAAAGGGUAUACGAAGAUCGUCUGCGCCUAGUCGAUACAUAAAUGAUCAAACUUUAGGUUCAACAACUUGCUCAUCAAUCAAGAAGGUGAAUAAACCAUGAUGUUUGAUCAAAUUACUUCAAUUGUAGAUGAAAUAUACAAUAGAAAAAAUGUAAUAUAUAGUCAUGAUACAUAUAUUUCUCCACUUUUUAAAUUUCUUUAUGAUGUAUGCUACUUAUAAAAGGAGAUAUAUAUAGUGUGUUUAAUGCUUAUAUUGUAAAAUGAAAAAUAUGUGCAUAUUAAGUUUUAGUAGCUUGUUAUAUUAAUCUUUCAAGUCAAGUAUAUCAUGCAUUACCAAUCUAUUUAAGUUCUAGCCAUUACUGUUAUCACUAUUUGAAGAGCUAGAAGCAUGCAAAACUAGAAGAAAAUAUAUAAAUUUCUGUAUAUUUAAGUAUGAUAUACACAUAUUAUACAUAUAAUAUACAUAAUCAAUGUAUAGAUUUUGUAUAUUAUAGCUAUAUAUUGAUAAAUAAAUUUGGUCGAACUGUACAUAUUGAUAAUUUUCCCUUAUUUCUAUAUUUUUUUUUAUGGACCGGCCUAAUCCUAAUUCUAUAUAGCUCUUGAGUUUGAAUAAUUUGCUUCUAGCUGUGAAAAUAUUAAAGCAAAAAAUGAAAUAGUGGUCCAAAAAAAUUGGUAAAUAAUUAAUGUAUACCACCAAGGGUCCAAGAAGUGGCACAACAAAUUAAUUAACUUCUAGAUAUUAAGGAUUAUUUUUUUGUGUGUGUCUCAAGUUUAAUUUAGUCGAGUUUUGGGAUUGAAAAAAAUUCGUCUAACAAGAAGCGUUUUUUCCUUAAAUGGGGUCUAUACAGGAGGACUUUUUUAAUUAAUCGAAUGGUCAGUGAGUUCUGAAUAUCGAAUUAUGACUAAUAGUAGUAACCAUAAGGAGCAUUUGAGUAAAGUAUAUCUAAUUUCUCCCUUAAAUGAGUAAUUAAUACCUUAUACGUUCUUAGAGUAGUAGUAAAGAUGAAAUUAGAAAAAGAUGAUGCUUUCUUAAUUUUAAAAUGACAGACAAAAAAGACGUAUUAAACUAUAGAAAAUUCGAAGUCUUUACCUCUUAAAAUAAAAGUAUAUGUAUGAAGUUUUCAAACUCAUGAAAAACAUGACUAAAUUUAGUAGAGAGUCAAUAGGAGCCAAGAAAGUGUGAUUAGAUCAGAAUAAUUAGUUGGGAGAACGAAAUUAUCAUCUAAUUCCAAUAUAAUAUUGUUGAAUGGUGACAUUCAAUUUAAUUUAUGUUGUUUGGAUUUUUUUUUUUCUGGGGGAGGGGGAGGGAGAGGGGGUUGUUUAAUAUUUGCAUAUCCUCAUUAUUCGAUUACAUAAUACCUCUCAACAGAUUGGAUGUUUGUGAAAGCAGUAAAUCAGAGUGCAAUCACAAUCGUCCUGGAAGUUCCAAAAUAAGUGACUGGUUUUUUCUAUUCAAAUCGGAUAUAUAAGUUACUUCCUAUAACUCUUUUUUUAUUAUAUUUCUAGAUCGAUAGUUAAAAUAAAAAAUUUUCUUUUCAAUCUCUUAUAUACAUAUGUAAUUUUUAAAUCAAUACGUUUACUAAAAGACUGACUUUCAUCAUUAUCAUUAGUCCAGCGUAAAAUUAAGAAAGAAAGGUAGAAAUUCACCGUCGGGAAAUUCAUUCGAAAAGAAACGAAGAAUUCUCAACGAAAAAAGUUUAGGGUACAAGUAAAAGAGAAAUAAUUGAAUGAAAUAACUAAAGGCAAAGAACCAUUCUUUCAUUUAAUUAAAAAUUCAAGGCAUCCAAAUUGAAGUAGUAACACCAAACAAUCCCAACUUUAGCUCUAGAGGGCUCCAUGAUGGGGUAGACUGUAGAGUAACAAAAUGCUGUAUAACUAAAAUACAAACUUCAAACUCCUAUCUAUAGCCACAUAAUAUUUCAUAAUAUUUUUUAACAACUUUUCCCUGUUAAAAUUGAUAUCCAAUCCAAUCCAAUCCAACAACAAUAACAACAUUAAUUACUGCUAUAUUAUAAAUGAUCUAUAAUUUCUCUGCUUAAGUAGGUUGUUUACUUUAUGAUUUUAUUAUAUCAUCUCUAAUUAAUUAUUAUAAAUUAUUUAUAUGUUAAAAAAAUGAUACUAUUUAAUACGAAAAAUAAAAUAGAUAUUUAUAACAUAUCUAUUUUUGAUGCUUCAAUCACAAUUUUACUAAAUAUCACCACUAAUUAAUUAUCAUAAGUUAUCUAAUUAUUAAAAUAUAAUAAUAUUUAAUAAAUAAAUAGAAUAUAUAUAAAAUAAUAAAUUAACUUUUGAUGUUUUAAAUUAAUUUAACAUACUUUAUGAAACCCUUAAACUUUUUCUACAUAUCACUUUUUACUACUACUAUAUUUCUAAUAAGCUAUAGUUUCAAUAUGUCUGUUUUAGCAGGCUGCUUGAUUUGUAAUUUUAUUAUAUCAUCUCUAAUUAAUUAUUAUAAGUUAUUUAUAUAUUAAAAAAAUAAUAUUAUUUAAUAUGAAAAAUAAAAUAGACAUUUAUAACAUGUCUGUUUUUGCUGUUUCAAUCAUAAUUUUACUAAAUAUCACCACUAAUUAAUUAUUAUAAGUCAUCUAAUUAUUAAAAAUAAUAAUAUUUAAUAAAAAAUAAAAUAGAUAUAAAAUGAUAAAUUAACUGUUGAUGUUUUAAAUUAACUUGACGUCCUUUAUGAAACCCUUAAAUUUUUUCCACAUAUCACUUUUUACUAAAUAUCUCCCUAAAUUAAUUAUUAGAAGUCAUUUAAGUAUUAAAAAAUUAAUAAUCUUUAAUAAAAGAAAAUAAUAUAGACAUAAAAUAAUAAAUUAACUCUUGAUAUUUUAAAUUAACUUAAGGCAUUAUAUGUGGCUCACUUAAUUAAUUUUUUUUCAAAUAUUUUUUAUAAUAAUUUUGUUAUAUCACUUUUUACUAAAAAUAUCUCUCCUAAUUAAUUAUUAUAAGUCAUCUAAUAUUAAAAAAUUAAUAAUAGGAUAAUAUAGACAUAAAAUAAUAAAUUAAAUCUUGAUGUUUUAAAUUAAUCUGACGUCUUAUAUAAGGCUCACUUAAAUUUAUUUCAAAAAUAUUUUUUAUAGUAAUUUUGCUAUAUCACUUCUAAUUAGUUGUUGUAAGUAAUUUAAAGCAUGUUUGCUUCGCUGUGUCAAUCGUGAUUUUAUUAUAUCACACUUAAUUAAUUAUUAUGACGAUCUAAGCAUUGUGCCACUUAAAUUGACAUUUGUGAUUUAUUUAAAUUUGUUUCACAAAUAUUUUUUAUAAUAAUUUUAUUAUAUUAUUAUAAAUCAUUUAAAAUAUAUUUAUUUCGUUGCUUUAAUCAUGAUUUUACUAUAUCACACUUUAUCAUGAUGGUGACAAUAACGAAGACAAAGAAGUCGAAUUUUAUUACAAGUUGAGGGAGUUCAAGAAUCUCGUGUUGGAGUUUGUAAGAAGAGAAAAGUUGAUGUUGAAGGUGGGGUUAAUAAAAAGAGGGGAAUUGAUGUACAAAUGAUUCCCGUACUUGAAGUAGAGUAUAUGUUCAAUGAUCCUGAUAUCUUGGAUUUUUUUACCAAAAAAAAGGGAUUUCAUAAUAAACUUGAGGUUUUCGAUCGGAAAAUUUAAAAAUUUAGGAAAGUGAAAAGUGGACUGAAGAUUGUGAAAUUGGAAAAGGAGAAUGUUGUGAGUUUUGAAUCGGGAGAUAUAUGCCCCGUUUGUUUCGAGAUUUUUGAAGAAAGUUCAGUUGCGGUGUUCACAUAAUGACCGGUGUUCCACUAGUGUACCUUCGGCAACAAUUUAAUUUCUUGGUCGUCACAGAAACGGCGGUGUUGCCCGUUCCGUAAAUCACUGGCCAAUGCCACAGCUGAAAUCAUGUGGGUAAGCUCUCUUCUUGGCUUCCCAUCCUUCGUCCCUGCUAUCAUGUGGUGUGAUAACGUUGGUGCAAUUUACUUGAGUGCCAAUCCUUUUUUAUAUGCCCGCACCAAACAUAUUGAAUUAGACUAUCACUUUGUGUGGGAGCAAAUCAAGGCCAACUAUGAAGCCAUGUUUUAGAUGUUUUGACAGAAGCAAUGAAGAUGGGAGCCAAGGGGGAGAAACGAAAAGAGAUGAAAAUGAAGCAGUAGAAGCACUGACCGCUAAGAAAAUGAUCUUUUACGUGUAUGUAUGAACCAUUUGGAAUUCCUUGCAGAGGACCUUACACACCACCUGCAAUUGCUGUCAAUGUGGUGGUCGAUGAAUGAUGUAACGACAUUUUACCUGUUUUCUCCAUUUUAACCCUCUCCAUAGCUUUUAUUUGAGAUUUAUGACUUGCGGGGAUGAGUGACUUGAUUUCCGAGGUAGUAGUAUUGAAGGGUGCUUGAAGUGUAUCAUUAAAGAUGGUGAAGGGAUAUUCAUUCUAUCAUCACCCCCUUCCGUAAAAUGACUUUCUUUUUCUUUUUGACAAUUCUAUAAUCCUAUCACCACGAUGGCGGGCCUUAAAACAAUCGGAGGCGGAGCCAGCCUUCUUUAAGGGGUUCGGCAACAAAAAUAUAUUAUUUAUACAUGAUUAAAAUCAUUUUUUAUGUGGUUAUAGUAGGUGUUGAACCCCUUCGAUUUAGUUUUCUUUGAACAUUGAACCCCUUACUUGAAAUCUUGGCUCCGCCUCUGAAAACGAUCAGUCCAAUCCUUAUUUCCAUGUAGAAUACUCUCUAAAGCCGUUACAUGUAAGAAAAAGAAGUCUGGGGUGUCAACUAGAAAAAUUGGAAUUGCAUCACAAAGCAACUAAAAUGUAGACUGUUGUAUUUGUGUACCGUAUGAUGUUUUGGUUCUUGAUUAUGAUUGAAUGCCAAGGUAAUAUUUGUAACAAGUUUCAUGAUUAUGAUUGAAUGCCAAGGUAAUAUUUGUAACAAGUUUCAUGCCAACUGAAAAUUCUUGCAAGUUGGAAACAUUCAGUAAAUGGGCUUCUGUGACAAUACCUUCUCACCCACAUAUUAUCAGAGAUGUCCAACGAGACCAACGACAUGCUCUGCCCCAUAUUUGGGGUGAGGUUGAAUGUCUCCUAGGAUGAUGAGUUCCCUAUAAUAUUAGGAAUUGUGCCUGUCAGUGAGUUGUACCUCAAUUCAACAUCUUUUAGUUCACUCAAGUAUCCUAAUGCAGCAGGAAGAUUGCCAGUCAAUUGAUUGAAACUACAAUGACUCCAAGCUGUUGCUUUGACAUUCAGUUAAGGCAUCGACGAAAUCAGUUAUCUCUCCACUGAUGCUAUUGUAGGAGAGGAUCAGAGUCUUUCAUAUUACAUAGUUUCCCAAAGCUUCUCUUGAGCGUCCCAUUGAUACCAUAGUUGGAAGGUAGAUCAAGAUAUUCAAGGCAAGUAAGCUUUGCAAACUCAUCCAUUGUUGGAAAGAUCAAGCACCAAAAAGGAAGUAAGAUUUAGAGUUGGGAGAGAAGAUGGAAGGUUUAAAAGCUGACACUGAGACAAAUGCAGCUCGAGGAGAGAAGGAAGAAGAUUAUUGAUCAUUUGAAGCCAAGAAUAAGUAACUUUGCUAAGAACUGAACCUCCCAAAUUCAAAUGUUCAAGAAAAGUAAGCUGAAUGGUUAAGAUUCAAGAAUGUCAGCUAGAAUGAAUUGAGUUCCAAGACAUAACCGUAGAAUUAGUCCAGGUACGUACGCGCACUCUGACGCAGACUAAAAGGUUAUUAAACAAAAAGAAAAUUGUUGAAGUGGGAAAUAUUUUAGCUAGUCAAUUGAUGUAUUAGAGUUUUUGACUUCGACAACAAAGAAUCUGAAAGUUCAUUCACCUAGAAAGAGUCUCAUUAGCAGGCACCUUUGUCAACUCAUUUUCUUGUUUACCAAAGAUUCCUGGGAUUAUAAAUAAUACAUUUGUGUUUCUUCCUUAAAUCAUUGGCACUAAUUAAGGAGAAAUAAUCAGAUUUGCUUAAUUAACUACUACUACUAAUUAAUAGCUAAUGUUUCUUCCCUUCUAGUUUAUGUGAUGGUGUUUGACUAGAUACAAAGUUUACAAAUGAAAGUAAGACUUAUGAAACUUAAAUUAAAUCCUAGAUAUUAUUGUAUGGCUUAAUAUCAUCUCAUUAAGGUAUGGGAUCCACUCCGGUAUUGCUCUGCAUAUCCAGUAAACGUCCCAUUCGUCUGGAUAUGCAUUUAGCGAUGUUGGAGGAUCCUUACCGGUUGAAUCCCGCUCCUUGUUCUUCCUACUUCUCAAUGCUUAUUUCUGGUUGUAAGUGUGGAGGUUACUAUUCCACUGAAUGCAAGCCGUGGAAACAGCCUUGUGCAGAAAUGCAAGGUAAGGCUGCGUAAAAUAGACCAUUGCGGUCCAACCUUUCCCCGGACCCCACGCGUAACAGGAGCUUCAGCGCACCGGCCUGCCAAAUAAAAUGAUUUGGAUUGGUUGUUGGAAUAAAUUGAAGAACACCAUUAUUAAUAAUUUGUUUUAGUUUUAAAGAAGUUCGUUGAGGAAGAGAAGGCCCCUCUAUUUAGCUAAGGAUGUUCAAGAUUUAAUAUGCAUGUGUAAGAAGUAUUAUUUUGACGUACAUACAUGCAAUAUUCUUAUCAGGCGAAGUUGUUCAACUGGCCACUCUUUGCAUGUUGUAGCUCUUCCUCCCUGGUUAAUGGUUCUUUCUCUUGCGGCGCCCCAUAAGUUCACGCUUUUUCAUACACAAAAAGUAGUAAUAUGUCCUAUACUGAAACUAAAACAUAACAUAUAGCUCCAUUUAUUGAAUACAUUGAUAAAGUUAACAAACAUUUUUCAUCUUCUUCUUCUCAAGUGUUUCUUUCUUUUACUCAUUAAACAUCCAAACCAUUUAUGUAGAAAACUCGAAAACCUUUCAUGGAACUCCAAAAUGCAUGUCUCAAUGAAUCUGAAAUAAGCAACUCUCCAGCUUUUCUUGAAGAUCAAAGUGCCAAAAAAUACCCAGAAGCCAACUAAGUAUCCGAGACCAACGACAGCAUAGAACCAUAUUUUCUCAACUUUAUCUUCGUCAUCUGUUUCUCCGUCAUCAUCCAUUCCACCGUCAGAUGUUGUAGUCGUGUCAUUAGAACAAUGUCGUAAAGGAGGACCACAGAGUGCGUCAUUUCCUUGGAAAAUUGUUGGAUCGUCUUUGAUUUGGAACUCAGUACUGGUGGGAAUUCUUCCUGACGAAUUGUUGUAAGACAAGUUCAAGUGUGUCAAGAAGUCUAAAGUAGUUACGCUUGGUGGUAUAGGAACUGAUAGUUGAUUUUUGGAAAGAUCUAAGGUUUCAAUCCAUCCCAGUUUUCCAAUAUCCGUUAGUAUAGUUCCCGUCAAAUGAUUCAUGGACAAGUUCAAGGUUCCAAGUUUGUGUAACCUUGUUAUCUCUACCGGGAUUUCUCCAGAUAAACUGUUGCUCGAAAGGUCGAUACUGUUUACUAGGUAAAGGAUAGUAUCAUAAUAAAGUAUUCUUCCUUUCGCCUCCAGUUUCAGUUUCCCUUGAUAUUGACUAGCUUCCGCAUCAGUUAGCUCAGCCUUGAAGCCUUCCAAAUUGCCAACACAGGAUGGGAUAGAACCGGAUAAGUUGUUUUCUGAAAGGUCUAGUAUGUGAAGACCUCUGAGGCUACAAACUUUUAAAGGAAUGUGGCCGGAAAACCUAUUGUUUCUUACGCUAAGGAUUAACAGUGAUCUCAUCGUUUCGCCUAACCAAGAUGGGAUUAGCCCUAAUGGUUGUUACUAAGAUCAAUGCUAAUCAUUCUCGUGCAAUUUCUCAAACUCGAAGGCAGUUCUCCAGAGAGAUUGUUGCCUGAGAGUCUUAAGAACCUCAGAUAAGCAAGAGAACCUAGUGAGCCUGGAAUUUGGCCGGCUAGGCGGUUCUCUGACAUAUCUAACCAAUAAAGAUACGGAAGCUUACCCCAGAAAUCAGGAAACUGUCCGAUAAGUUGGUUAUUAUCGAGGGCUAAAGUAGUCAGCUGAUUCAUAUCACCCAUGCACAAGGGAAUUGUGCCAUUUAGAUUGUUGUAGGAGAUGUCCAAGUCUGUUAGAUUGGGAAGUGCUUCACAAAUGUUUACGGGAAUAGGUCCUGAAAACAAGUUAUCCCUCAGAUACAAUGAUGUAAUGUUAGAAGACCAUAGUGGGAGAGGUCCCUCGAAGCGAUUGGAGCUUAAGUCCACAUUGGCUAGAAAGUUGAAUUGAAACGUGUUGGGAACUUUCCCUGUCAAGUUGUUGUAAGCCAUGUCUAGAUUAUCAAGCUUCAAAUCCAACUCUACAAACCAAUCUGGUAAAACAUCUGAAAUCCCCGCAGUAUUGAAUACUAUACUGGUGAGCUCAUGCUGAUCCUUAAGCCAGUGUGGGAAUUUGGGGCCUAAUUUGCAUGACUGAAUGGUCAAUAACGUCAGCUGGAACGAAGGAGUCCAGUUCGAGCUGACGUUGAAUGUCAAGGUAAUAUUUUUACCAAGCAUCACGCCAACUGAAAACUCUUGCAAGUUAGAAAGAUUCAGCAAAUGGGCUUCUGUGACAAUACCUUCCCACAUAUUAUCGGAGAUGUCCAACGAGACCACCGAUGUGAGCUGCCCGAUAUUCGAGGUGAGGUUCCCACUCAUUUUGUUGGAUGAGAGGUAGAGCGCCUCCAACGAUGACAAGUCCCCUGUACUUUCAGGGAUUGUGCCUGUGAGUGAGCUGAAGAAUUUUUAGCUUCUUCAAGUGACCUAAUGUAGCAGGAAGCUUGCCACUCAGUUCAUUGAAAUUCAAAUCCAAUGCCUCCAAGCUGUUGCUUUCGCAUUCAGAUAAGGCAUCGACAAAAUCAGUAAGGUCGCCGCUGAUGCUGUUGUAGGAGAGGAUCAACGUUUUCAAAUUGCAUAGUUUCCCCAAGCUUUUCUUCAGUGGACCUUUAAUACCAUAAUUAGACGAUACAUGAAGAUACUCAAGCGAAAUGAGCUUUGCAAACUCAUCAGGCAGUUCACUAACGAUAUUGUUGGAGUUUAAGUCAAGAUGCACAAGGUUACUGAGGUCGAACAUCCAUUCAGGGAAAGUACUCGAGUUGAAAGCAUUGUUGGAAAGAUCGAGUACCAAAAGGGAAGUAAAAUUUAAGGAAGGAAGAGAAGACGGAAGGUUUAGAAGUUGACACUGAGGCAAACGCAACUCGAGGAGAGAAGGGCUAUGACUGUUGAUUGUGUCAAGCCAAGAAUCAUCAACUUUGCUAAGAUCUGAACCUCCCUAAUUCAAAUGUUCAAGAAAAGGAAGUCCUCUUAGCCAUUCAAGAUCAUUCUCAGCUGGCUUUCCGGAGUAGAAACUCAAAUCAAGAACUUGCAAAUUCGAUAGGUUUCCAAGAAAAGAAGAUACUGAACCAGAAAAAGAUGCACCAGAAAGAUUGAGGUACCUCAACUCCUUAACGCGACCGAUGAAUUCAGGUACUUUGACUCCUCCAAAAUUGUUCAUACUCAAGUCUAAGUAUCUCAACUUUUUCAACUCAAGUAAAGAUGGAUUAAUCUCACCUCCCAAUCUAUUGUUUCUUGAUAAUUGGUUUCUGAGGUCAAGCUUUACGACGCUUCCUGUCUUGUUGUCACAGAUUACCCCAAGCCAUUGACAGCAAUUUUCUUGAUCAAUCCAAGAAGAUAGCCUGCCUGAAGAAUCUGUAAGAUUUUCUUUAAGUUUUAGCAGUGCUUUCUUUUCUGUUUCAAUGCAAGUUCCCACUUUAGAGGUGCCAGCAGUGGAAACAAAGUGAUACGCAAUGCAAGUGAAAUAGAAAAGAUGAGCAAACAAUAUGAGAAAGAUAAGUUGAAAUGAUUUGCUUUCCAUAUUUGCUUCUUGUGGUUGAAGCUAGGAAGGACAAUCUCUUAUCAUUUAUAGACAUAGAAGUACAUUGGUGUACAAAGUUACCUGGUAUCUGCGCUGGUGGAGACACUCCAUCCGUGCUUAGGCAUGUUACGUGGACAGUUGAAAUGAAAGAGUUGCUUAAAAACGGAAAGACGCAUUCCUUUUGAAAUAGACUAAAAAGGAAAGGAAAGACAAACAAGUUGAAACGGAGGGAGCAGCAAGUAUAACAUGCAGAACUAGUCGAGGUACAUGCAAGCUGACACGAACGGCGUGGUUAUCAAAACAAUAAUAAAUUUGGAAGUUCAUUCACCUAGAAAUAGUCUCAUUCUUUGUAUGAGGACUAUAUCUCAUACAAAUCCUAAUGAAUAUGAGUGAUAACAUCAACAUAUAACUUUGAUAUAACGUGUUCUGUCAUUAAAGCAGACCUCACUUGUUGUUUGAAUUGAAUAGUAUAUUAUCUUUUGUGUACGACUAUGACUUUACCGUAAUACGCUCCAUAUCUGAAGCAUACCUCACUCUUUAUUUUUUCAUUGAACAUAACAUAUUUCAUGUACAACUCCGAAUGUAAUAUGCUCUAUCGCUAAAGUAGACCUCACUUGUUAUUUGUUAUAGAAUAUAGAGAAAAUGCCCUAUUUCACCCUUGAACUAUAUCCAAAACGGCUGAGACACACCUCAACUUAACGGGGGUCCUAUAACCCCCUGAACUAAUUAAAAGUGUAAUUUUGACACCCUUAAUAUCUACGUGGCACAUAAGUGGCACACACGUGUGCCUACGUGGAUCCUUCCGUGUGUUGUGCCACGUAUAUGCCACAUAGGCACUAAGGGUGUCAAAAUUACACUUUUAAUUAGUUAAGGGGUAAUAGAACCGCUUUUAAGUUGAGGUGUGUCUCAGCCGUUUUGGGUAUAGUUCAAGGGUGAACUAGAACAUUUUCUCUAUAAGAUAUUUCGUGCAUGAAGUAAAUCAUAGUUGAUAAUAUAUUAAGGAAAAAUAACAUAAACAUACACCUUAACUUAUCAUAUUUACACAAAUUUCCACCCUUAUAAAAUAGUUACAAAAAUUUCAACUAAUUAUGUAUCUUCAAUGGAUGUACCGAAAGCUAAUCAUGUAUCUCGACAGACCAAGAAUAAAAAAAAAAUGUAUCGAGAUCUUAUGUAUCCUUACAAAGAAAAAAAAAUGUAUUUUCGUUGGAUGUAUUAUGUCUCUCUGACAGACUCAAAAUUGAAAAAUGUAUCAGGAGCUAAUAAUGUAUCUUUACAAGAAAAAAUGUAUCUUUGUUGAAUGUAUCGGGAGCUAAAUAUGUAUGUCGACAGACUCAAAUUUGGGAUUUUCAAUAAUUAUAUAAAAUGUCGAAAUUUUUGAAAUUAAGCUCGCAACUGUCGGGAUUUAUAUUAUUUAUCCUAAAAUUAAUUAAUGCGAAUAUUAUUGGGAUAUUAUUGGCUGUCAGACAAAAAGAAUUUAAGCAACAAUUUUAUUAAUUGCAAGUUGCAACUUUGUCAACUCAUUUUCUAGUUUGCCAAGGUUCUUGGAUUAUAAAUAAUACAUUUGUGUUUCUUCCUAAAAUCAUUCACAUAAUUAUUGAGAAAUAGUCAACUUUGUUUUCAUGAAUAAUUGUCUAUUAUUGACUCGACACACAUAUUAAAAAAUAAUAAUAAUACAGAUAUUUUUAUCAUAUCACCUUUUGAAUAUCAUUAAUUCGAUGCUCUGAGAAAUAUAUUGGAUAGUGGAUUGUAAAUAAUAAUUAAGGGUAAAAUUGAUAGAAAUCGAUAAAUUAUUAAUCGAUUUUUCAAACUGGACAAGUAUUGUUGAAAAUCUAUUUUCAGUAUAGCGGAUAGGUAAAAAUGGACGAAGAGAGCAAUAAUUACUGCCUACGUUUUAUUUUAUUUGGCUUUAUGGCUUGGUACUCUCCUUAAGAAAAAAUUAUUUUAUAGGUAUAUUUUACUAAGAUAAUCUUAUUAAUGAUGUUUUAAAACUCUAAAUUUGACUGUUACUAGUUUAUAUAGCUAUUUGAUAAUAAGGAUAGUAUGAACUUUCUUGAUUUGUGAAAAUGAACAAGUAAAUUGAAACAUCUAUAUUUAGUAUAGGGUGAAUUAAAAUAAAAGAUAAUAUUUACAUAGCAUAUAAUAAUUGAUAAAAUUAAUGUGAAUUAUUAUAUAUANNNNNNNNNNNNNNNNNNNNNNNNNNNNNNNNNNNNNNNNNAUAUAUAUAUAUAUAUAUAUAUAUUAUAUGAUGCAACAAUUUUACUAUUUGCAAAUUGCAACUUAGCAGCCACUUUUGGUCAACUCAUUUUCUAGUCUACCAAAUAUUCCUAGGAUUAUAAAUAAUACUUUUGUUUGAUAAAUUACUAAUAAUUCAUGUCUAAUUUUUUAUUUUAAUUUAUGUGAUGGUGUUUGAUUGGAUAUGAAAUUUAAGAACGAAAGUAAAACUUUUGAAACUGUAAAACAAAUCAUAUAUAUUAGAAGGUUGUACAUCAAACUUGGAGUCAUUUGAAGUUAAUUCGAACUAAUUUCAAAGAAAAAAUAUUUGGUGAAAUUUUUACACAACAAAUUAUGAUGACCGUAAAGAUUUUAUUGUUAAUUCUUAUGAUUUAUGUGGAUUUUGUAGUCAUAAUUUUCGUGAUCCGUCAAUUUGUGACAAAGCGAGUUUUGCCAUCAAUAUGAAAAUCGACAGAAUUUGUGACUAGAAUUUUAGCCAUUCAUCAGAAUUUGUAUUUUGAGGUUGGUCUACAAGGCCCAUACAAAAUUUGUGGUUUUGGUUGGGCUAUAUGCAUGGGUGGCCCAACUAUGUGAUUGAGCCCAAUAGGCCUAAACAAAAUUGAUUACUUUACUAUUUAGAGAGAAUAAUCGAAAAUUUAUGGUUUUUAAAGUUUAGCUGCCUCGACUCGAUUUGAAAUUUGCACUGUUAAAACCUAGCUUAAUAGUUUCCUCGAGAUUAAACAAGUAUUUUUCUGAUUAAUUAGAGGGCAUCCAUGAUUAAAUAAGUCUUUCCUAAUUAAUCAGAAAAUACAGAAAACAACAAAACUAUUACUAGAAAUGCCAAAAAGUUAAAUGAAAGAUUUACUAAAAGAAUAACUAAAAUCAUUAAGUGAUAUAAAAAGAAGUGGGGAAUAGAGGAUGAAAAUGUUGAAAACAAAAAUGUUGGGAUAAAUUUGAAGGCUAAAAUAACAACAACAAAUACAGUAUAUUCCCACGUAGUGGAUUCUGGAGAGGGUAAAAUGUACGCAGUUCAUACCAUUACCUCUGAAGAAGUAGAGAGGUUGUUUCCGAUAGACCCCUGACUCGGAAAACAAGUGGUUUAAUAGACUUAACAUGUUAACAAGUGACUAAACACUUGUCGAAAUAUUGUCAUGCAAAAUAACAUUUGUCCUUCGAGUCUAACAAGCAUCAAUGCUUUAAAAGAACAUUGACAUGCAUAUUGCCAACACCAUUGCUAGUUAGUGUUAGGUUUUUUGCCUGAUUUUCUUGCCAAGUUUAAGUUUUAUUUUUCCUGAAAGGAAAAUAUAAUUCUUUUCUAUAUUUGGCUAACCUCUUUCUUAGAUGAAAGGUUUUGGAACUCUAUAAAUAGAAGACUACCCCUCUCAUACCAUAAUACAAUAUCAUACACAAUGUAUUCGUUAAAAAAGUCUGGUUUAGGGAGAGAUUUCUCUCAUAGAUUUAUGUUUUAUAUUUUCAAUAUUAGUUACUUAAUAUGUAGGCCGUUUGGCGAAAUAUAUCACUAAUAUAUAUGUUUUUAUUAUAUUUUUAUUUGUCAUCUGAAUUAUCAUCGUCUUGGUUCGCAAACUUUAAGCUUCCGCAUGAUGCCCUCUCGAUUUCAAAUCCAACAAGUGGUAUCAGGGCCAGGUUCAAAAAUCAAAUGGUUCGAUUGAGGAUAGUUUAAGAUCAAAGUUGCAACAAAUUUGAUAAUAAGAAGAUAUAUGACCAAAAUAUUAUUAAUAAAAUAAUAAUAAUAAUAAUAAUAAUAAUAAAAAAUAAAAAAAUAUGUUGUGGAAAAUUGAUUUGAGAUGGCUUGGAGAGCAAGUUCUUUUGAGGAAAGUCCGGUGCGCUAAAGCUGUUCAAAGGUUUAUUGUCAGGGGUGGACAACGUCAAUUUUGAGAUGUUUCGACACCCAUUAAAUCCGAUGCAAACUAGGUAUAAUUAUAUAAAAAAUGUAUAAAAUUUAACAUAGGAAUUUAAAAAACACUCAGUAAAUCAAAAAGAUAGACGGGUGUUUUAGUUUCCUAGCGGAACGUUAAAGCUUUUGGCGUUAUAUGUGUGUUUGGACCUCCCGGGCACCCACGACCCCUAAACCUCGUAAUGACACGCCAUCUAAGCAGUGUGCCACUUAAAUUGACAUUUGUGAUUUAUUACCUCACUUAUAAAGGAUGAUCAACAUGAUUGUUUGUGUUGUCCACUUAGAUAUUUUUUUUUAUAUUUCUUUAUUUUAAUUUUCUUUUUAAUCUGUUAUAUAUUUGAGAAUUACGUAAAAGUAUUAUAAAUUAUAAUAAUUAACAACAUAAAAUAAUUCAAAGGAUGUAAAAGAAAAAUUAGUUGACCCUCGAGGGUUUAUUACUGCUACAUAAAUUGAGAUAGAAGAAAAAAUACUAUAAAUCACAAUAACUAAUAAUUUUUUUUUUUUAAAAAAAUAUAUAAAAAAUUUAGUUAACUCUCAAAAUUGUAUCAAUAUCACACCAAAUUAGAUAGGGAGUGUAAUAUAUAUUAUUUAAAAAAUUACGUAAAAAAUAUAUAAAUCACAAUAGUUAAUAACAUGAGCCAUAUCAGACCUAGUAAUAACAUAUCAAUAUAAUAUUUUGAUGAAAAAGGUCCUAGUAAAACAGUAUAUAUACAGAUCUUAUCAUAUACAAUCAGAUCUCUCUAUAACGUCACCUCGUUAUAACAUCAUUUCCCUAUAGCGGCACGAUUUUCUUCAGAAUCAAUUUUUCAUGUUAUAUAUAUAUUUUUUAACGGCAUUUAACUAUAAUAAUAAUGACGUUUAUCAUUGACGGACCCACGAUUUAAGGAUUGUGGGUGCGUAAAAAAUUAAAAAGCUGAAAACAAGUAAAAAAUUAUCUCAACGAGGUUUGAACCCGGGAUGCCCCUUUCAAUGGAGAAUCUUACGUUCGAAUCCGGGUUGCCCCUCCCAAUGGAGAAUCUUAAUCUUAAGAUCAAUCCAAAUACCAGCGCAAUCAAUCUAGAUGCCAGUGCACCCAACUAAUUUUUUGUUUUAGUGGGUGUUUUUAUAUCUUUUAUACCUAUUUUUGUUUAUUUUCUAUGUAAUUAUACCUAUUCUGUGUCGAGUUUACUGAGUACCGGAGCACCCCAAAAACAAUGUAGGUCCACCCCUGACGUUUACUAUAGCAGUAGUUUAUUAUCGCGGUACAUUCUUUGUAACAUUACCUCUCUAUAAAUAGCAUACUUUCGUAAGAAAUAUAUCAUGUACAAAAUAAAAUAUUAAAAUAUUUAUAGUAAUCAUCAUUAACGUCAUGCACGCAGUAAAUUUCAAGUACGAAGAUCUAAUUUAAAGAUUUUUUAUUUAAAUGAUGCAUAUAAGUUAUUCCAUAACUUCACAAGGAAAACACUAUUAAUAUUUAUCUUUUUUAUAUUCAUGCUCUUUCUAAUUUUAUAUACUUUUACUUAUGAUAAGUAAAUGAAAUCUGAACUUCAAAUGAUAUUAUAUAUAUAUAUAUAUAUGAAAUUACCUCUCCAUAAUCAUCAUAAAAAUUUUCAAAUAAAAACUGCUACUACAGAAAUGUUUGACUAUAUUUAUGGGGACUUAAAAAGUUAGAAAGUCCAUUUUAUUUAAUUUGGGGGAGUGUGAAGGUUGUUUGAUCGUUUAAUUUAACUACGUAAAUCUAAUAAAAAUAAAACGUGUCAUCGAAGAAAUUUUAAUAUAUUUUUCGUGUUUUUUCCAUUAUCUCUCUUAGUCUUCUAAGUUCCAACCCCCAAUUAAGGUUUCACUUCCCCUCUUCCUCAAAACUCACAAUAUACAUACAAAAAUUAUAAUCCAAAGUCAAAUUAAACCCAAAAAACCCAUUUAAUUCAAUUUUACUGACAAAUUCUUUUAUUAUAUAUACUACCCAAUUGAUCUAUUUACGUUAUGGGUUGUGCAUCUUCAGUUGCAGGUAAUCAAUUUCAAAACCCUCUUAUUGUAUAUAAUUGAAUUAAUUGGGUUCAUCUUAUUAGUUAUCUUAUUUUUUCUUUAUAUGGGUUGCCUUCUAAUUGGUUCAUUCUUAAUAACUAUUGAAGUUUAUAUUGUUGUUUGGGUCCGUUUGCACGCACCUCAACUAACACUAAUUAUAUUACAUGGGUAUUGGGUAACUUGGUCUAUUAAGAUUGGAACAGAUGAGAAGAAAUCAACUAGUAAUUGAACCUGAGACCUCCUAGUUUCAUUAAUCACUAGGCACGCCCAUUGGGUGUAACUGUGGUGUCCGGACCAGCUUAUGCAUGUCAGUUUAUUGUCGAUUUGGGACAGUUGAAUAUGUAGGUCGAUCAAGAACCCGUGUUACGGCUUAGGUUCGAGUUGGUAGUGGAAGUUUGCAAAACAACAAGUGAAGUUAAAAGAUAGCAUAAGUAAUAGACAAGCUGAAAUUAAAGAACGUAUAUUAGGCACGGUGCAAAGCGUAUGAUCGAGAUUCACUAGCCAUGAGCCGGCUUCGACCGGAAAUAAGAAUUAAAACAGAGAAAACUCGGAGAUAAAGCUAAAGGAUUUUAUUGCUUAGAUGCAGGAAGUAUAAAUUAGAUGAUGAUAUUUACAAUGAGGAGGGCGCACCGCGCACCUAUUUAUUGUGUACAAGGUUGGUCUGUGUAUGCCCAAUAAGAGAGUGCCACCCGAACCCAAUAGUACCCUGAUCAAUGAUCAAUGAUUAAACGUCAUUUGCCGAAGAAUUGUUUGGAGAUGCCAGCCAAAUACUCCAUGUUUGGCACAAACUUGUUGAGGAUCGUCCACGUACCUGAGAGCCCUGACACAUUGGUUCCCUGUUUGUCCUUUAGUGCACAGUCGCUAUCGCUAGUGGCCUUUCGUUAUUUUUAUUUAGACCGAGAGGGCGUACUCUAUCUAGGUAUCGUUCCUGAGGUGACUCGAUCAUGGGCAAAUUCCAAUUCUACCCGACCCGAGAUGGCGUAUAUUUGCUAAUUCUAUUUUAAUCUAUACAGUCUCGACUAAUUCCAUGGGAUACCUACCACUUUCCACAAGCAGCAACAAGCACAUAACUCUGUCCACCAACAGAUGUGAAGAAAUCACCUAGUGUUUUCUAUCUUCUAGGAUUUGAACCUACUUGACAUGGAGCCGUUACAACUUACUGUGGACAUGACCCUAGGGAGAAAGACAUGGAGGAUGCAAAUUUGGUCAGAUGGCUAGUUCGUGGGAGUGAGUCGUAGCUAGUAGAUAAGAUUUAUGUUGCUUGGACUCAUCAAAAAUGUCAACGGGUGCAUGUUGGAUCCUCCAAAAUAAUGUAUUUUUAAAGGAUCUGACAUGGGUGUGACAACAUUUUUGGAGAGUCCGAGCAACUUAGGAUAAGAUUGCUAUGGUGUAGCCAUGCUAGUAGUCGUAGGGAUAUGCUCGUAGAUUGGAGUUUUUUGUUCGCAGGGUUUGGGUGAGGUGUGUACUUUCGGUUAGAUAGUGUAUAGUAAUACUCUGUGAGUUUCUUAUUUCUGUUAUUUCAUCUUGUUUUAUGUUCUAUUACGACUUUGUUUACUGUCCUUUUGUCCUGAACCGAGGGUCUAUCGAAAACAACCUCUCUACUUCUUUGGAGGUAGUGGUAUGGAAUGCAUACACUUUACCCUCCCAGACCGCACUAUGUGGGAAUACACAGGGUAUGUUGUUGUAGGAUUUGAACCUUCUACCUCAUGGUUCUCGACCCAUUUCAUUGAGCAUUUGUCCACACCCUUAGGUCUGAUGAUUUAUUUUUAUUUUAAUCUUUCUGUGCUACACUAAAGCUGUGCUCAGUAUGAUGAUGAUAUGAAAUGAGCUUAAAUGAAGAAGUGGGAAUUUAUAUAGCCGACCCCAACUUGUUUGGGAUAGAGGUAUAUUUGUUGUUGUUUAUCAGGUUGUGGUUGGGACUAGGGGUGAGGAAGGUGAUACUCCCUUUGUUUUAAUUUGUUUGCCGGUUUUAACUUGGCACGGAGUGGAAGAAAGUAAAGAAAGUUUUUGAUUCUUGUGGUCUUAAACUAAAAGAUAUGCGAAAUAUAUCAAAAUGUCCUUUAAUCUUGUGACUUAAACUGCCAUAUGAAAAGUUGGAAAUUAAAGAGUUUCCAAAAAAAGGAAAGAAACAUUCUUUUUUAAACGGUCUAAAAAGAAAAGUAAGACGAACAAAUUGAAACAGAAGGAAGCACCCAAGGGUGUGGCAUAGUGUUCAAUGAAGUGGGUUGAGAACUGGAGGUCUUAGGUUCACAUUCCAAUAGAGGCAAAAAACGCUAGUUGAUUCUUCCCAUAAGUCCUAGCCUUGGUUGACAGAGUUACCAGAUAUUUAUUGCUGGUGGGAGGUGACAGGUGUCCCGUGGAUUUAGUUGAGGUGUGCGAAAGCUGGCCCCGACACCGAAAUUAUCAACCAACAAAAAGAACUUGAAAUAUUGGGAGUCCUAUCCAAUGUUGUGUUUAAUACUUCCUUUUGACUAAUGCAGAUAGGAAUUCGGGGCGGGCCGCUGGACUUGAUCCCAAUGGUGGAGGUGGAGCAGUGGAUCCUAAAAAUCUUAAAGUGAAGGUAAAGUUUGAAACUUUGGGAUUGGCCCUUUGUGCUAUGGCAAAGUAUUAAUCCAUAUGUUCCAAUUUAUGCCAUUCUUCCUAUUUUUUACAACUUUAUAUGUUUGACACAAUUCUAGCUAUGUUAUUUCGUAAAAAUGUCACAAUUUUUCAAAUUCAUUUAACUAAUCAAAUUUUAAUUUGAUGAGAUGGGUUUCUGCAAACUAUUUAUUUAACUCUAACAUUUGUAGUUGGUUCACGAGCUGCCUAUACCAUAUGUUAGUCAAUUAAGUAUAUUAAAAUCCAUGCUCCACAGCUGGUGUCACGUAAAUUGGGACAGAGGGAGUUGUUUCUACAAUCCUAACAUCUAUGAUAUUAAGAUGACAGUAGACUAUUAGUGUCCAUAUCACAUUGCUUGUACUAUAAAUCUUUUGAUAAGGUAAAUAGUUUAAUUAACGUGGAUAUAUUACCAUGUAAUCAAAAAGAUCUUUUUCCAAUUACUAAUCUCUGUAUUAGUUAUUACAUCUUCCGCUCCACUUCGUCAUUUCAUAAAGAUCAGGGUUUCGUCUCUUCACGCUUCUCCGGCUAAAGCAUGUUGAAGACAUGAUUAAGUGCGGGCUUGUCAGUAAGUGCGGAGAUGAUUGUCAGUAAGACCUCAGUUCUAUUUGAAACAGAGUUUUUUUUUUUUUUUUAUAAUCUCUCUGUCUAAUAGAUAUACAUCAAAAAAUGAAGGUGCUUGAUUAUCAUGAUGGCUGCCACUCAUUUUUAUUGUCAUUCCUUAUUUCUGAUGAGGAACGGAUUACUAGAAGGUCCAUGUUUGAGUCAAUAUAAUAGUUUGAGCUAACUGGCAAAUAUAUUUCUCAUAAUAAUCUUAGUAAUCAAUAAAGAAUAUACUCUUUCACACCCCUUCAGGUGCGGCCCUUCCCGGGCCUCUGCGUGAAUGUGAGAUGCUUUGUGCAUUGGGAUGCCCUUUUGUUUUUACUCUUUCAUGUCUGUUGGUGACCUUUUAAAUCGCUAUCUAAAGUUCAUUAGAUGAUCAAACUGAGACUUACUGACAGACUUUAGAAAGUGUAGUGCCUCGGAGAUAUAGGCCUGAAUGGCUGUUAUGGAAAUUGGGCGGGAGCGUCUCAAUGAGCAUAUUUAGGGUCAUGCCUUUGUUUACUUCUAGACUUUAGCCAACUUAUCUUCUUGCUUGAAUAAACUUUCAGUACUGUAUGUCGUGUUUAUGAAAAUUGGUGCUUCUGGAACUUUCUGAUUAUGACUAUUUAUGUUGAAUCAGUUUCGUGGUUGGAGUACAUAUGUUCUCCUGAAUUGAAUGGAUUUCUUCAAUGCACAGGCGUGGACUGUAGCUUUUUAUGUCUUCUUUCAUGCAUUCAAAAGUGGGCUAACAGCUUUGGAUACUAUCUAGCUAUUCUCUUUGUUGUUCCUUUACCAUGAGAUUUUGGUGGGAUAUGCUUCAGUGGUUCGGAGUUUCUUGGAUUAUGCCAAAAUUUGUGAAAGAUUUAAUGUUUUUUUGGAGAACGGGAAUAGGAGGAGAAGGCGUAAGGCAUGGAAUUUGGUCCCUCUUGUGUUGAUGUGGGUUAUUUGGAAUGAGAGAAAUAGGAGAGAUUUUGAGGGGGUAGAGUUGAGUUUUUCUCAAGUAAUGAAUAGCCUCCGGCAUCUUAUUUUGUUUUGGUGCACCAUAAAAUCCUUAGUUGUAGGGAAGAAUAGGGUGGACUUUGUAGAGAAUUAGAUUUUGUAGAUUCUUUACCUUUUGGUUUUUCCUUUGUAUAUGGCCAACUCGGCCUUGUUUAUGAAUGAAAUACUCCUCAUCAAAAAAAAGAAAACUAUGUUCUUUUUGUCAAAAUAUGAUUUAAUAAGUCCCUUGCACCCUAUUUGUGAUACUGAUAUUGCCGUUUCCCCCAAACAUCAUUUGCAGCUGGUACUCUUGGGUGAUUCUGGUGUUGGUAAAAGCUGUAUUGUUCUGCGCUUUGUACGGGGUCAAUUUGAUCCGACAUCUAAGGUAUGAAUAUGCUAUUCCAAAAUGAUAAACAUGUUCUUAUAUCAUGUAACGUUUAUAUAUUGUAUUCGGUUCUCACCUCCCACCUUUUUUCUUUCCCUUCUGGUGUGUGUGUUUCAGUGGACUGUGUCUGUUUAUGUUAUGUAUCUUAGGUUCUUCGAUAAUAGUUUAUAAUUGUUGCUUGGAUGAUUUUAGGUGACUAUAGGAGCUUCUUUUCUGUCUCAAACAAUAGCCUUGCAAGACUCAACUACAGUUAAAUUUGAAAUAUGGGACACAGCUGGUCAAGAGAGGUAUUGCGAGCCAAGUUUCAUGUUGUAUUUAUCUCUUUCUGCUCUUGAUAAAUAAUUUCAUCCAAUAACUGAGAAAUCCCCUGUGAGUUAGCUGACCAACCCUUGAGUCGGAAUAAAAAUGAGAAGUCUCUAAUGAUUGACAAAAGAUAGUUGUAAAGAAGACCCUCAAGUUCUGCUGUCUGCCUUGCUUUCAGGUAUGCAGCACUUGCACCAUUAUACUACCGAGGUGCUGCAGUUGCAGUGGUUGUAUAUGAUAUUACUAGUCCCGAGUCUUUUGCCAAAGCACAAUACUGGGUCAAGGUAUUUCUCUUAUAAGAAUUGAAGCGAGCGUUCUGUCUCUUUUGUUUGAUAGCAAAAUUAUUAACGUGUCAAUGAUUGCCCCUUGUUACUUCUGUUUCGACACUUGUUCAUAGCAGCGGUUUGCUUUAUUUAUAUCUUUGGAGUUUGCACCUUUUCUUGUGACUUAAUAUGCUUCCCCUGUUCGAAUGGAGCUGAAUCUUGUUAUCCUUGAAAGAAUCCAAUCCCCUUAUAUGGUCAUUCAGUCACUCCAUCAUCAUCAACUAAAAUCAAGAAGUAAACUUUCUAACAUGGGUACAAGUGAGGGUACCCAAUCAAGGGUGCCUCAAGGGUAAGGCUAAUAAAGCGUUGGCUUUAGGCCCCAAAAUUUUGAAGCGUCAAAAAAAUUUAAUUGUAAAUUUCAUGAUUUCAGUUUCAUUUGAAAUAAUAAUGAAGAUUGUGAAAUACUUUAAAAAAAUUUUCCUAAAAAAAUACAAAAAGAAAGAAAUAUCUAAUUUUUACUAGAAAUAUUUUAGAACUUCGAAUUAAACAACUCAAACUUCAUACAAAUAAUUAAUGUUUUAACAACAUCAUCUAAGUUUAAUGUAUUACAAACAAAUGGCUAACAUCUUAUUAACUAGAAUGAAUCUUUCUUUUAUUAAAAAUCGUAUUAUAUGUGAAGUUAAAGGUCAUGUGUCGUUCAAAAUAUUACAGCAAAAACAAUUAAUAUAUAACAACAAAAAAACAACUCCCAAUUAUUAUAAUAUUAUUUUUGUAUGUAUAUUUAUAUAUCUAAAGCCUGUGCUUUAAGUUUAACUUUAGACCACUAAUUUUAUUGAGACGGUACUUUAGGCGAUAGUGUGUGGGAUCGACCUGAUAGUGUGUGGGGAUCUACAAGUCGGAUUUAUUUUCACCUAAAUUUUCAGAUUCAGGUCCUAAAUUUUCAAAUUUAGGACAUGGACGUGGAUAGGCGAGGUUAACAGUUGUUAAGACUUGGUAAUAAAUGUAGGUAAUUAUUUCAACAAAGUUGCCACAGUAAAACGACUUAAACAACUCAUUGUAAAUAUCUUUUGAAAUAUAUAAUAUCUUAUUCAUAAACAUAUGUCAUAGUUCUGGGUAGAUAUGUAUAUAAUAUCUUAUUCAUAAACAUAUGUCAUAGUUCUGGGUAGAUAUGUUGGGCUAGCCACAUAGGUACGCCCGGGCCCCUCACUCACUCAGUCCCCUAGUUAUAAGCAUAAUCAAAAGGAUUGAGCAAUCCAGAUAAAGAUCGACGGUAAACCAAGAAGAUCAAAAAACAUUUUUUUCUGGUAAUUGUGCUUGAUCAAAAAUGUUUCCUAAUACUUGUGCGUAUACCAGCAAUAACAAUAGCAUACUCUGUGUGAUCCAUGAGUGGGGUCUGAGGAAGUUGGGGUGUAUGCAGACCAUACCUUACCUUUGUGCUUUGUGGGUACCCUGAUACAAGUAUAAAAAAGCUACGAUAAAAAUACUGUGAAAUGAAAAGUAUUAACAACCAAAUUAAUGAAGAUACUAAAGUACUUGUAUGCCAAAAACAACAAUUUGCAAAAGAAAAUUCAGCCAAUUUACGUCUCUCGGCCAUAAUUGUAGUAGAAGCACCUUGGCUAAAUUGACCAAAUAAUCCUUGUUGAACAUUUGAUUGCCAGAUAACUGUUGAAGUCUUCCUUCUACAAAACUCUACAAAACUUUAUUGUGAUAAGAUAUUGAUAGUAGUUCAUUAGAGCAUCAUAUUUGGUGAAGCAACUUAGUCAAUGAUCGUUCUUUUUUAAGUUCAUAUUUAUUUAAGAUUCUCUUUUCAUAGUUUCAAUGGAGAAAUGAGAAUUUGCAAGUUGAAACAAGAUUAAUGAGAAUCUCAAAAUGUAAUUGUCAAAUAGCUCCUAUGUCAAGAAUUGUUGAGCUUGUUUUCCCUAAAAGAAUAGUUUCACCCGCUAAUAAUUCAAAAACAUGAAAAACUAGUUUCUACCUUAAUAUAUUACCUGAAUCCGACAUUGGUCUGCCCAACUAUUUUCUAUUUUGAGCCGAGGGUCUUUAGAAACAGAUUGUAUACCCCACAAAGGUAGGGGUAAGGUCUGCCACUCUGCAUACACCCUACCUUCCACAGACCUUACUUUUGAGAUUACACUGACAAUGCUGUUCAAUAUAUAUUACUUUUGAUAACUGAGAAACCCCCGGGAGCCAGUGGAUAAUGGUCUGCCUUCUACCCUUCUCUGCUUAAAUGUCAGGCUUUUGUUUAUGGUAAGGUUCGAACCAAUCACAUGUGCCUAAGCCACACAUCACAAGUUGCUCUCUCACCAGAUCAGAUCACAGCCCUGGGGAUAUAUUAAUCUGUUCUAAUAUUGUGCUCUUAUUCCUCGUGCAACUAAAGUGGGUCAUAUAUUUUGGAAAGGAGGUACUAGCGUCUUAACUUUCAGGUCAUCCUAAAUAGAGAGAUAAAACUGCUUUUUGUGUUGUCAGGCAUAAUUAAGAUUCCAAUAGAUCACAGACCACCCAAAAUCUCCCUGGCAUAAAAUGAAGAAAAUUGGUGCUGCUUGUACUUAUUAAAAGGUGGUAACUUCUGCUGCUGAUUGUACGUAUUUUUGUAUGUGUGAACAAAUUGUCAAUUUUUUGAUGCAAAUGAUGCUGUAAUAGAAAAGAUCAUGUCAAAAUGUGGGAUACUGUAAAUUAUUUCUUUAGGCCAUAAUUCAAGCUUUAGGUAUUCUGCUUGAGAUCCAUAUCUUAGAGAUGACGAUCAGCACAAAAGAUAAUGCCACAUUUGCCGCUUCAUGUUUAUUGAUGUCCAAUUCAUUUGGUGUUUCUUCGUUCUCUAAAUGAGUCAGUCUGUCAGACAAACAACAACAGUAAUUACUAUACCUCAAUCUGCGCAGGUGGGCCGGCUUUAUAAAUCUUCACUUUCCAUGUGAUUAGUCAUCCUGUCGGACAAGCUAGUGCUAAAUGAUACGCAAUUUCUGAAAUUUAGUCAUGCAUACAAUGUCCUACUUAGUAGCUGCUAAAUGAUUGCCAUUUGUAGGAAUUGCAAAAACAUGGGAGCCCUGAUAUAGUCAUGGCUCUGGUUGGCAACAAAGCUGAUCUCGACGAAAAAAGAGAAGUAACGACACAAGUGAGUACCGUUAAGUUUUUACCGCUAGCACUGUUAGACAUGAAAAUUAUUUCUGCUAUUCUGAUCUUUUUGUGGUAUUUACUUUUGAAGGAUGGAAUUGACUGUGCUGAAAAGAAUGGUAUGUUCUUUAUAGAAACAUCCGCUAAGACAGCUGAUAAUAUCAACCAGCUGUUUGAGGUACGUUCGUAAUGUCAUUUCUCAAAAGCGAAAUGUCAACUUUUUAAGGUGUAUAAAUUUAAUUAGGACCUUUAUAGGUGCGUGCUUUGAAUUCAAAUGCUAUUAACCUACAUUGUUUCUGCAACUGUCUAAAACUUAAUCCAGCUGCCAUUUGUUCAUUUUAUUCAUCCUCAUCGGACCCUUCAGUUUCCUCUUGCUUUUCUGGUCCUCGUGUAUUGUUGGCAAGGGGAGGACAAUACCGGCCUGAACUUUCAGUCUGAUAAAGAGAGUUUUCUGAGGAUUUUGUGUUCGCCGAAAUUAGUUAUGUUCAAUUUAGCUCUAAUCUCAUAUCGAUAAGAUGCAACAGAAGUAGUACAAGAAGUUCUCUAUGUUUCGUACUGGCAUAUAAAUCUCUGACCGGACUUAUGACUCCUAGAGAACAAUAGAACAUAAAGGAUAACAUACUACUUGUAGUCGCAUAUGUAGAUCCUUAUCUUCCAUUAUGCCUUAUUUUUCGCUAGGCCUGCAUUUGAACACAAACAUUGGUAAUAUUCACUUGUUGAUGGCUUUACUUGCAGGAAAUUGCCAAAAGAUUGCCACGCCCGUCUGCUGCUUGACCCAUCAAGAAUAUAGAUCGGCAUAAACAGCUGCAGCAAUUCUGAUUGCUACAGUCUGUAACACUAUGUAUAUGAAGUCAUUCUACGUCUCUUCCUUUCUGCACUCUUGUUACAAUUUCUGAUCUUGUAAUCGCGAUCCUAUUCCAUGAGGCAUCUUGCUAUAACUGUGUGAAUUGAGGAGACGAAAAGCUCACUUCAACUUGUGAAAGUUUGAAAUAAUUGAAUGAUUCAAUGACAUGACAUUUGGAGGGAAGCCUUGGAGUAACCGGUUAAGUUGUCUCCAUGUGAUUUGGAGGUUACGGGGUUCAAGUUGUGGAAAUAACCUCUUGCAAAAAUACUAGGUUGCAUACAAUAAACUUUUCUGGUUUGGUUUAGCCUUCUCUGGGCUCCGUGCAUAGUGGGGCAUUUAAUGCACCGUGCUGUCCUUUUGUUCAAUGAAAUUUAGCUAGCAGAAAUUAACAUGUGACAUUUAACAUGAUAAAGCUUUAUAAAAUGGAAGUGUUAUAGUAUAUGCUAAGGUUCCAAAAGUUGGAAAAAAAUUUAGAACUCUAUGAUGGGUUUAUUAAGAGUGGAGCUUUAAAAACAUUAGAUUUUUUCUCAAUUCAAGAGAAUGUGGACCUUCUGAAGGCUAUGAUUUCAAGCAGACUUCAAGUUUAUCCAUAAAAUACCUGAAAAUCUAGCUCUAAACUUUAAAAUUUUUUAAAGCAGGCCCCCAAAACAUCCAAUAGACUGUUAAACACAAUUAACAUUUAUUUAGUUGAAACAACAAUAAUAACAUACCCCGCAUAUUUUUACAAAGUGGAUCUGAAGGGGUAAGCUUAUGCCGUCCAUACAACUACCUCAAAAGUGCGGUAGAGACGGUGUUUCCGAUAGACCCUCAACUUCAGGAAAAAAAAGAGUCUAGAAAGACAUAAUAACAGAAACAAGACCGCCAUAAAACUAUCACAAAGUAAUACUACAAUCGAAUAAGAUAUCGUAAUAUCAACUAAUUAUUCUUUAAUAUAAUCUAUUCACAAAUGGUACAAGCAAUCUCUUCACACUGAGCCUGAGUCUUCUUUUUCCUUUUUCUUUCUAAACAAAAUCUGAAAUAAUGAGUUUGUUUUCACAAAAUAUAAACUUGUGAGUAAAUUUUAUAUUUAAAAAAGUUGAAAUCAUGAUUUAGAAUUUCAAAUCACGAUCUUUUUGAGAAUUUGAAAUUCAUCUCAUGAUUUUUAAAUGGGAAAAGGCUCAAAUAUGCCACUGAACUAUCAGAAAUGACUCAUUUAUGCCAUCCGUUAAAAGUUGGGCUCAUUCAUGCCAUCACCGCUAUAAAACUGGUCCAUCCAUGCCAUUACUUUUUAAAGAUGGUUUUCUAAAAAACUGCUUUGCCACAUGGCCUUUUAUUAGAGGCCCACGUUAUUUUUUAAAUUUUUAAUUUAUUUUUUUUGAAGUUUUGAUCCAUUAAGAAGAAUUCGCCCACACCUAACCUAUCACCUUAACCCACUUUAAUAUUAUUCUUAAUUUUGACACUAGAUUUAAACAUAUAUAUAAUCAUUUAGUCUUCGAACAUAAAAUUUACACACUUGAAUACUACGUUUAAAAUAAUAUAGGUUAGAAUAAUUAAUAAUUUUAAAUGGCAAAUGAAUAAAUUGUGAUUAAAAAUUAAUUUGUUUUGACUCUCGAAAUCCGAGCAUCAUCACAUAAUUUAGGACGAAGAAAAUACCACAUAAAUGAAGGACCACAACUUUUAAUUAGGAAGAAUACCUAAAAAUCCCUUCUAAAUUUGGAUUAUAAGUUUUAUAAUUGAAUUAUUGGUAGUCUUAAUUAUUUCGUAAAUUUGGCUAUUUGGUAGCCUUUAUGCUCUUUAACGUGGACGAGACGUAGAACAUAAUUUUUUUCUGUGUGGGUGGAUUCUUUAAUAUACACAUUAAAGAUCCAUUAACAUAUACAUAAAUAGUGUCUGCGUGAGUAGGUACCAAACAACACUAAAAAAUAUGUGGACUGAAAACACCCUACGUACCUGGAUGGUGGUCUUUUAUUUAUUUUAUAUUUUUUUUAAACUCUAAAACGCCUAAAAAUAAAUUAUGCUCUACGUCUCGUCCACGUUAAAGAGUAUAAAGGCUACCAAAUAGCCAAGUCCACGAAAUAAUUAAGACUACCAAUAAUUCAAUUAUACAACUUAUAAUCCAAAUUUAGAAGGAAUUUUUGGGUAUUCGUCCUAAUUAAAAGUUGCGGUCCUUCAUGUAUGUGGUUUCUCUUCGUCCUAAAUUAGGAGUAACAUCAGAAGACACUGUUGAGUAAUUAGUUUGUGUUUAUGGUUUGUCUUUUAGUGGAGUAAUUAAUUAAGGGUUUAAAUUAGUUUUAUCGGAAUUUCUACGAUUAUGAUAGAUUGGAUCUUACAGGAUUUGAGGUAUAAACUUCUUAUUGUUAUUGUUUACCUGAUGUAUGAGUUGGACUUUUAUGAUUUGGUUCGUUUGAUUUUUAGUUGGAAGUGUACAAUUUGUUAAAUUUGUUUGUUGCUUCUGGUCAAGGAUCUGUCGAAAAUAGCCUCUUUACCUCAGUUAGGGGUAACAUCAGAAGACACUAUUGAGUAAUUAGUUUGUGUUUAUGAUUGUGAUAGGUUGGAUCCUGAUGGAUUUAAUUUGAGGUUAAACUUCUUAUUGUUAUUGCUUAAUUGAUGUGUGAGUUGGGUUUUUAUGAUUUGGUUCGUUUAAUUUUUAGUUGGGAGUGGAUAAUCUAUUAAAUUUGUUUGUUGCUUAUGAUCGAGGGUCUAUCGAAAAUAGUCUCUCUACCUCGGUUAAGGGUAAGGUAUUAUGUUGUUAUUUGUUGCAUAUGGAGUAUAGUGCUAAUUGCCUUUCUUAGCAAGCGAGGUGUUUACGUCUUUUUAGAGUGUGAGAUUAGUGGUUAAUGAAUGUGUAAUCCUAAUGAAUGAAGUGUUUAACACCUCUUUAGCUAUCAGUAACAAUUCAAUGAAGCAAAAAGGAAUAGAAAAAGUAAUACUAUAUGUUUCCAAUUCAAUGAAAUUUAGUUAUCAGUAACAUACACGUGAUAUUAAACAAAAAAAAAGUUGCAAAAUAUUUUUUUUUUUAAAAAAGAAUUUCGAUACUAGAUUUAUCUAGAAUGAUAAACUUAAAAAAGAUGGAAUGACCUGUAAGACUUAUCUACUUGGCUCAGAUUGUUAGUUGAACCUUUCUGCUCAUGAUUAUGUUAAUUGAACAAUUAAUCCUUUAAAACUUAAACCUUUUAAUCACUCUGAUUAUUGAUCGAACUUAUGUGACAUUUAACGAAAACAGCCUCCCUAAUUAAUUAAUAAGGUUAAUUUGCUAAAAUAAACCUCUAAGGAAUAUUUUCUUAAGAAGAGUAUCAAGUCGACAAGGGCUAAUUAUUUUGAAAUGGAGAAAGUAUGAGAUUUUAUGGAUUUAUGAAAUUAAUUCAAAAUUGCAAUUCACCUUUUCUACAUUCAUACUUGGUCUAAUUUUACAUAUUUUUUUGUGUAACGGUUCAUUAAAUAAUUUCGUCAUUAUUUGAUUUUCAUAUUGUCAUUCCAUAAUAUAAUUUGUACACCGGCUAAAAGUAAAAUAGGGAAGUGGUAAAACAAACUUUAGUUUGUAAAGGUUUGGGAAAACAAAAAUACAAAUUACUCGACCAAUGUAAAAUAAAAUAAAUAUAAUUAUUCUAAUUUCAAAAACUUCUAGAAGUGUGAAAAAAAACAAAAUAUUUCUUUUCAUAGAAUCUAUUUUCAUAUAAACUAAUACUCCCUCCGUUUCGAAAUAAGUGAAUUGUUGGGGUAUUUAUUGGUGUUUCAAAAUAAGUGAAUCAUUGAAUUUUUUUUCCAAGUUUACCCUUAUGAUUUGACAACCAAUUAACUUUUGAAAAGAUAUUACAAAGUCAAUUUUUUCUUUUUUUGGGGUAAAAAUGGAAAGUUGUGUUAAAUUUAUGUCUUUAAUGCUUUUUCCUUAAUCUGUAUGUCAAAAUCCAACAAUUCAUUUAUUAUGAAACGGAGGGAGUAAAGACUAGGAGAAAGAAAUAAUCAAUCACUAAUUAUAAAUACACUACGCCGCCCUACAUACCUCUCGGGCUCUCAACAGUGGCAGAGUCAGAAUUUUCACUGAGGGAGUUCAGAAGUAAAUAUAUGACUAGUCGAAGGGAGUUCAACAUCUACUAUAUAUACAUAAAAAUAUUUUUGAUCAUAUAAAAAUUGUAUAAUUUUCCGACGAAGGGGGUUCGGAUGAACUCCUGAAAUGUAUGUGGCUCCGCCACUGGCUCUCAACAUAUUCUACGUACGUUUUUACGUUUUUUCUCAAAACAAUUUCUCUCCAAAUGUCAAUGACAUCAUCAUCAGAAAUCGAACCAAAAAAAAUAUUAAUCCUCAAGUCAUCUGAAGUCUGAAGAUGACGAAUUUGAGAUUGAAGAAUCUAUAGCGAUUCAACCAGAAACCAUAAAAGACAUGGUGGAGCACGAUUUAACCGUCAUCCCACUCUCAAACGUUGAUACAAAAACCCUAAUCAAAAUUAUCAAGUACAUGAAAAUGCAAACAAGAGAGAGGAAUCAAACAAAGAAGAAAUAAAAGAAUUCGUGAACAAAAGCUUGAUUGAACUACAUGAAUUUUUAUUGGCUGCAAAUUACUUUAACAUUGUCAGUUUGAUGGAUCUAUUGUGUCAGUCGAUUGACAAUAAGAAUCAAGGACAAGCCUAGUUUCAAUGUUUUUCGACAGAGAUAUUCAAUUUUACGAAUGACUAUACACCAGAGGGAGAAGAAAAGUUUUGGGAAUAAUUGGCAAAGAAGGAACCCUCCAAAACUAAUUUGUCAAAUACCCACUUAAUUUUCUUUUUGAUUUAUUUUUUAGGUUUAGGGUGUAAAAAGUGGGAAAAAGUAGAAAAAGUGGGGCCCACACGUAGGCCAAGGGACCAAUUCAUCAUUUUUACAACUUUACAAAUUUAAUAUAAUACACUUAACACCCUUCACUUAUUCCACUAUUAAAAAAAACUCACCCCCUCUCUCCUUUUCAAUUCCCAACUCCUUUUUUUGAAACUACUUCUCCCAAAAAUGCCAUUUUCAUUUCGUCAUCUUCUCCAGCUACUAAGGGGUCGUUGUUGCUUCGUAAGGUUAGUUAAAAUUAAGUUUCGAUCAUUUCUAGAUCCAUUUAAACGAUUUUUUUUUGCUAAUCGAUUCGUAGUGAUGCAAGAUCUUUUUUUCUUGAAUUUGAUAUUUUGGUUCAGUCGUGUUUUUUUUUAGCAACGAAGUGUUGAAUGGUGGGAUAAUAGCUGUUUGAAGAGUGAUUUUGGCAUUUUGAUUUGAACAGCGACCUGUUUCUGUCCGUAGACCCGCGGUCUAUCCGUAGACCCGUGGUCUAUGAAAUGAGAAUGCCCUAGAUUGAAAUCAAUUUUAAGACGUAUGAAAUUCUUGUAAAACAUGAUUGCUGAAAUAGUGAAAAUUGAAAUAUUAAUAGCUAAUUAGUUUGAUUAGGUGCACUAAUUUGAUUUUUAGCAAUUGUUGUGUUUUGAUAUUGCAUGUUGGAUUUUAGUAUAGUUAUUGUAUGUUUGUGUAGUAAACUGUUUAAUAGUGGGAUGUUUGUUAACUUUUUUGUGGGGUUUUCAUUUGAGCAUUGAGUUAUUUCUGUUGAUAGACUUGUGGUCUAUUUACUGAAAAUGGAGAUUUGUUCUUCAGGUGUAGAUUAUGUUGAAAAUGGGUAAAAAAAAACAUCAUUCCUAAAUGCAAAGCCGGUACCGCUGGUAGCAGUAGAAAAAGAAGAGCUAAGGCAGUUGGAAAUGUCUUAAAAAGGAAGAAAAUUGAAGAGUCGGUGUCCGAAUCAGAUUCGGAGUUAAAGGAAAUAAGUGACUACAUCGAUUCUAGUGAAGAUGUUGCCAAACGGAGUGUCAGUGGUGACAGUGAAGAGAGUAAUAGUGAUGAUAGGGAUAAUGAUUCCUUGUCCGUGCCAUAUCUUUCAAGGUGCAUUUUCGUGGAGCGGUAUGACCUUCGAACGAUAAUUGACGAGGUCGGACCUUUUCUGGCAAAGAUAUCAGUCAGAUCAAGAAUGAUUGCUUAUCGAGAAUUUAAGCAAGUUCUUGUCGACUAAAAAUUGAAGAAAAGAUUCAAGCGGUCCUGUUUUGGACACUUGAGAAACCUGCCGGAACAUCUC
rnacentral:lncRNA from 1 species